AAAUGCUUCAUCUAGGUUUGAAAAUAUUAGAAUGUUAGAUGAUAAAACCUUUUUUGAAUUUUAUGAAAAAUUAUGUGACAUCACUAAUGAAGCCUGUGCUCUUGGCGAGUAAUAUUUUGAGGUCAUGUUGGAUCGAACAGUACUGAGAUCCCUACCAAAGCUCUUAAUUAUCAAACUCACAUCCAUAGAAGAUGCCAAAUACAUCAAUACAAUAAGGGUGGGUGAGUUAAAUAACUCAUUACAAGCCUUUGCAAUGAAUAUGAAAGAAAGUAAAAAGGAAAAAGUCAAUGAUUAAAAAAUGUUGCAUUCAUUAUUAAAAACAUUAUUGCGACACAAUUUCCAAUAUUUGCUUCAAUAGAACAACUAGUGUUUCUUACAGAAAAAAUUCAACAAAAAUUUUAUGAAGUUCUUUAAGAAGAACAUGAAUAUAAAUGAUGGUUAAUCUACUAGAAAGAGCAAAGAAAGUUUACUGUUACAAAAGAUGAGCCUGGAGAAAAAGAAAGAAAUCUAGUGCAAUAAAUGUAAAGAAUUUGGUCACAUUAAAAAAAAGUUCAAACACUCUCAAGAGAAAGAAAAAGUCAUUUAAUGUUACUUGGAGUGACUAGGUUAUUAAGAGUGAAGAAGGAGAAGAUGAAGAACUUGUAAGUAACAACGUUGCCUUUACAGUUAGACCAAAAGCUAUUACUUUCAACUUUGUAACAUUCUUAAAGAUAAAAUAAGAAGAAUGCAGUGAUAGUGAGAAUGAUGAUGCUAAUGUAUAAUUGCAUGAAACUUACAAAGACAAAUAAGAAAACUACGAUAUUGUGUACAAAAUUAAUGAAUCAUUGAGAGAUGAAAAUACUAAUUUGAAAAAAGAAAACCAAAGAUUAAAAGUAGUGGAAGAUAAAAAUAUUCUCUUAGUUGAUCGAGAAGAAAACUUGAAGGACAUAAAGAGUUAAUGGUUGUCUAAAUCAUUGUAAAGAAUAUUAGAUCUAGAAAUGAGAAAUUUGAUGAAAUUCUUACAAUAAGGAGAUCUGAACUAGGUCACAAAUGACUUAAUAUAUAAGAGAGUCAUUAAUCUCUACCAUUGUUUUUGUGAAUACAACUACUUAUAUAAUAAGAGAAGAUUUUACACCAUUGAAAAAUCUCACAUGAAAAAAAGAGAUUCUAAUAGUUCUUAACUACCUAAAUUUUCAUCUCAACUAAGAAUCACUAAAAUAGUGGAUUUGGGCAAUCAACAUGUAACAUGAGGUAAACAUGUUUUUAUUUUGAAAAAUUUUAUGUUUUCACGAUCAUCUAAGCUUAAUUCAUCAUACACAUGAUUUACAUUCUUCAAUUAUCAAGUGUUUAUCAUGUUACCAUUAGAAGGGUUUGGUGAGUUUAAGUUUGACUAUGAUGAAAUUGUGAAUGAGGAACUUAGAUCAAGUUAAGACUAAGUUAGAAAGUAGUGAAAAGUAUUAGAUUUAACUAGAAAUUAAGCUAAGAUAUAUAGUAGAUUUAUGACAUUAGGGACUAAAUUGAAUAAAUUAAAAAAAUUUAAGAAAUUAUGCUAUUGUUAAAAGUACACGGUCCCUAAUGAAAGAAUAUGAAAUUAGAUUUUGAUUCAAUGCUAAAUAUAAAAAAUAGGGGCAUUUUGGAUAUAGGAAUUAAAAUGAAUAAAAUGCAAAAUAUGUUAGCUUAUGUGUUUUUCAUGUGAUUGGGUGGAAAUGAAUACCAUCCUAUAAUUGCAUUAUCGUACAUAGCUGUAGAAGAUGUCAGCCCAUCUUGAGAUAAAGAAAAGGCAAAGGUUGUAGACUAGUAGCUAUCCUGGUUUGUGCUUUCAUGAUUUAAAUUCUAAUUAUGUAUUUUGAUUGUUGCAAUUAGCUAUGCUUAAGGUAAUUACCUUACUUGUCUCAUGAAUAGGUAAGUAUGAAUUAGAUUGUAAGUUGUGGAUAUAUGAUGAUAUGUGAACCGUAUAUACAUUUGAAACAUUGGAUACCCUAUUAACGAUCACGAGCAGUCAGUAUAGUUGGCAUGCCAUAAGAUUUGUGUACGAGAUUUUACUUCAGUUUAUACUAAUGGGGAACGGAGUGCACAUUAUAGUUCAAAUGUUUCAAUGAGGUGCUAGGCACAUUUAUAUACUUCAGGCACUAGGUGCCAGAUAUAUUGGUGUGAUGAUUAGAUGAUUCAUGCAUUUAUCUUGAGUCUGUGUCUGGUUAAUAGGGAUUAUGAAAACAUGUAUUUUUCUAUUGACAUUGGAUAUUGAAAUUGUAUAAUUGUAUCUUGAUUUUUAAGCAAUAAAUGAUGGCAUGUGAAAGGUCAUAUGAAUUGGGUAUUACAAGCCCCGAGGGUUAAUUCGGUUGCGUAACGAAUCAAUAGAUUUGAGAAUGGAAAGAAAAGGUGCAAUGACCCUUGUGAUAUGCUACAUGGUUCAUUUAAUUGAGAUGUAUGAUAUAAGAACUAAAUAUUGAUAAGUGGCAUGUUGAAUAGCACAAAUUUUGAUGUAUGUCAUGUGACUUUUAAUUCAAUUAUGACUUAGAUAGUAUUUGACUAUCAUAUUAUGUGUAUUUUCUACCUUGCUUUUAGUUAAUUAUUGAUUUAAAUCAUGUUAGCACCACUAAGCAUUAUUUCUCAAUGUACAGUCUUUUUAUUUCCAUGCGUCAGUAAUGUAGAUCUUGAAGUCUUAAGGUGAUUGGUAGCAUCCAGAACUAAACUCUCAACUCAGCAAAGUUUGUAUAGAUUUUGUUAUGUUUAUAGAAAAUGGCAUGUACCUAAGGUCUUGAGUUGGUUUUGAUUGAAAAAAUCCAGUUCAGAAAUGAUUUUCUUGCAUAGCGGAAAAUUAAAAUUUUGAAAAUGACUCGGUUUGUGAUAUUUAUAGUAAUAAAUUAUAAACCAAAUUUGUACCUGUGUUUUCAGAAGGUAGAUCUUUGUCAUUUUCGGCUUUUAACCAAACAAUAUUCUCUACUAUUCUCAUACCACAAACUGCUUCGAGUGUGGGCUCGAACAAAACGAAUCAAACACAGAACUAUAAAUAUUUUCUUUACUUUCAGUGGGAAAGUAUACACUCUUAAAUAGAAAUCGGUAGAAUUGCAAUUAUUAGGAAAUAUAAUUUAUUCUUAAAAUAAAUUUCCACUACCUUCUGCCAGAAUAGAAAUAUUGAAAAUUUCAGAGAAACUUGUGUUUUUCUUUUUCUGUUGGUGUGAAUUUAAGCGUACCAGUGCCAUCUAUUUAUAGUGAGAGUUGGUAAAAUCUUGGUUGAAGUGAUAGAGUACAAAUAAUAUUAUUUUGAUAUAAAAAUUCUCCAACUCCCUAUUAUUUAGGGAGAGGGGCAGCAACCCUAGAUAGGAAUACUAGAUUUUUUGUCCCAUGUAUUCCAUAUAACGGAAGUUGGGCCUUUCCUGUACUGGUUCUAAUUAUAAAUGCUUCUUGGACUUUAACUUAACACUUUGUAGUUUAUUCCAAUCUAGUACAUGUUUUUUUUAUUUUCCAAAGUAAAUAUUAUUUGCUCAAUUAAUUUAAAUAAAUAAAUUUCUCAACCUAAUUAUAAUUCCGUUAAAAUCAUGUCAAUUUUACCAUCAAAUAAUCUAUGAGAAAAUAUAUUUAGUUUUCUACAUUUAAUUGGAUUCACAGUGACCAAUUAAUUUAAAUUCAUUUUUGAACUUCAAUUAAUUAAUUAAUUAAUAAUUCAAAAAACAAUAAGUUAAUUUUCGGGUCCUUUUCAUACUUGUGAGAAAAACACAUUUAUUUCCAAAUGAAACCCAUUUCUCUAACUUUAUCAUUUAUAUCCAUUUCUAUUUAUUUGAUUUAUUAUGAAAUUCAUUUAUGGUUUCAACGAGCUAGCAGAGAGACCGAUUGAAUAUAUGAAAUUGAGGCUCAAAUGAUUUAUAAUUAAAUUCCAACUUUUCACCCAUUAAUUAUAAACUCAUUUAGUCACGAAGUCAUUCCACUAUAGUAUCGUUACUAAGCUCUCCCCAACAACAUACCAUUAAGAAACUAACUUGAUCUGUGCUCAUCCAAUGACCUUGUCAUAAGUGUGUUACCUUCAUAUGAUAUCCUUAAUCUCUUUAGGAUAAUAUUCGUUCUCCCAAUAUGAUUUUAUUUUAUCUCAUGAUAACCAUUACAUUUUCCUUCAUGAAAAGUCAAUUCCUAUCAAAUAGUAAUCAAGUCAUUCAUCACAAAGACAAAUGACACUUGGCCACGUUUACUUUUCAUCAAACAUGUAAUGCCAAUGAGAGGAUAUCAUUUACGCAUGUCUCGAGUUAUGAAUUCCAUUGUUGUGUAUGACGCUAUAUACUGCAGAAGUCGUACACCUAACACACCAGCUUUCGGUUCCUUAUAUAUUUGAACUCAUGAUUUUACUUACAUAAAAGUGUAUGAGUCAUACAUACAUACUCCGUCAUCCACUCAAGAUUUGGGUAUGCCACACUAUGAAAGUCACAAGUGAAUAAAUCCAUAAAUGGAUUCAAGAUCUAUUUUUCUUGGGUCCAGUCUGAUGUACUAUUAGUCCAGCUUGUCGCAUCUAUAUCUUUAUCUUUUGGGAUUCAUCUACUCCGAUGCCCAAGACAAAGUAUCUCCCCAAUUGGACUUGAUAGAUGACAUAUUAGUCUUUCAAUUUAUUUGCUCAUUUCAGAUUAGACUAAGAACAUGUUUAGGUUCGUUUACUAAUAUAAUAUAUAUUUUUGUAUUACGAUCCAACCACGUAAUACCGCUUAAUAUCAGUUAAACAUUAAAGAACCAAUUAGAAACAUUUGCUUCCAUUUUUCUUUUCUUGCAAAACCCAUAUGAGGACAACUGUACAAAAUAUAUAAAUGAAUUUGUUCGUAGUCUAAAUGAAUUACAAUUGUAAAACAUUCAAAAUGGACCUAAAAACCUAUUCAAAACAUGUAAACUACAAGUUUAAAACAUGUUAAAAAAUUUUAGAAUUUUUCAAAAAAUAUAAAUGAAUUUGUUUUAGUAACUAAUCUGUUUUAUAGGAGUGGAGAGCUUAUUAUUGGAUUUGGUACCCUGAGUGUAGUAUUUUCAUCUAAGUAUACUUGUAAAUUUUUUGAACAGAUUGGUUAAUAAAAUUAUUCAUGAAUUACAUUAAUAAUUUAUAUAUAAUCCUCACAUGGUUUUUGCACACAAAGCAAAAUGGAAGCAAAUGUUGCUCAUUGGUUGUCUAAUGUUUAACUAAUAGUAAGCUGUAUUACAUUAUCAGAUUGUAGUACAGAAAGACAACUUGUAUUAGUAGAUGAAACUAAAUAUGUAUUUAGUCUAAUCAGAAAUGAGCAAACCGAUUGAAAUAUUAAUAUGUCGUCUAUUAAGUCCAAUUGAGGAGAUGCCUUGUCUUAGGCAUCGGAGCGGAUGGCUCUAAAAAAAUAGAGACAUAGAUGUGACUAAUUGGACUGAUAGUACAUCAUACAUGAUCCAAACAGAAUAGAUCCUGAAUCCUUUUAUAGUUUUAUUAACUUGUAAUGUUCAUAGUGUGACAUACCUAAAUCCCGAGUGGAUGGAGAACUAUGUACGCGUGACUCGUACACUUUGAUUUACGAAAAGACAUGAGUUCAAAUAGAUAAUGAAUCGAAAGCUGGUGUAUUGGGUGUACGACUUCUAUAGUAUGUAGCACCAUUCACAAAAUUGGAAUUCAUAGCCCAAAACAUGUGUAAAUGAUAUCAUUUCAUUGGCAUUACAUGGUUGAAGAAAAGUAAAAAUGGCUACGGGUCAUUCGUCUUUGUGAUGGUUACCAUGAGAUAAAAUAAGUUCAUAUUGGGAGAACAGAUAUUAUCCCAAAGAGAUCAAGGAUAUCCUAUGAGGGUAACACACUUAUGACAAGGUCAUUCGACGAGCAUUGAGUAGUUGCUUUCUUAAUGGUAUGUUGUUGAGGAGAGCUAAGUCACGAUACUAUAGUGGAAUGACUCUGUGACUAAAUGAGUUUAUAAUUAAUAGGAGAAAAGCCAAAACUUAAUUAUAACUGAUUUGAGCCUCAACUACAUAUGUCCAAUCGGUCCCUCCAUUAGCUAGUUGAAACUAAAAAUGAAUUGCGUAUUUGAAUAGAAAUGAAAUGAAUGAAUAGAGAAAGAGAAAUGUAAAAAUUUUAGGAAUGAUUAUGGAUUCUCCAAAAUGGAGAAAUGAAAUCAUUUGGAAAUGAAUGUAGGUUUCUUGUAAUAGCCCGAUUUAGGGCCUAAAUGGAAUUGUGGUUUUGAAACCAUAAAUUUGAAGUAUAAAAAUUUAUUGAUAUUAAGUUUUAAUAUUUACUGUAUGAUUGAAUGACUAUGUGAAAUUUUCGCUAUGAAAUUCUAUCAAUUGGGUGUCCAAUUUGAUGAUUAGGACUAAAUUACAAUAGGUGAAAAAUGUGUGUUCUAGUUUAGAAAGGUAAUUGUUUGUAAUGGGUUUCUAAAGUGGAGGUCCUUAGAUAGUAAUUAGACCAUUAUACUUUAGUUUGGAUAAAAUAUCCAAGGAAGGAUAAAAUACCAUAGUUUUUAAUGAAGGGCAUUUUGGUCAUUGGGUAAUUAAAUGAAUUAAAAAGGGCAAAUAAAGCCAAAAUUUGCUCAUUUUUCUUCAACCAUAACCGAAAUUUUCAAGCUCUCCAUAGCUAGGGUUUUGGCCACUUUCAAGCUUGAUUGUAAGUACAUCCUGUCCUCGUUUUUAAUGUUCUUUACAUUUUUGAGAUACUCGUAACUCGAUUUAGCUAUUUCUACCAUUAUUUUGAAUUAGGGUUUGUGUUUAAAAAUUUACCCAUGGAUGACAUGCAUGUGUUUUGAUGUUUUGUGGAAUAAUAUGAAAGUUUGGGGUGUGAUAAACAACUUUUACUAAGUGAUUUUUGAUGAAAUUGCAUAAAAGAACCUAUUUGUAAAAGUUGGUAAAUUAUGUGUAGGAAAAUGUGGUUUAGUGAAAAAUAUGGGUUGCUAUAAGAGGGAAUAUGAAUCAGCUAGGCUUAGGAUUUGAGAAAAAUAAGUGCUUUUCAUUUUUCGAGCCUAGGGGCAAAAUUGUAAAUAUGUGAAACUUUAAGGGCAAAAAUGUAAUUUUGCCAUAGUGUGAUUUUUGGAGUAGAAUGAAUAAUGUGAGUAUUAAAUGAGUUAAAUGACCUUGAUCGGGGAAAAGAAAAGGUUGUGGACUAAAUUUCAAAUUCGUCAUAUCUUGCACUGAGGGAAGUUUGUAUGUAAAUAAUAUAUCAUUUUUAAUUAUGUUAUAAUAUUUUGUUAUAUUACAUGAGAUGUGGUUGUAUAUUGAAUGAUUAUUUGAUAUAAAUUAUGAAUUGAGAUUGACUAUGGAUGAAAUUGACAAAGUGAGAAUAAGUGAGAAAUUUCCCGGUUGAACUUUCGGAAUAGAAAAUAAUAGGAAGGACGUCAUGAGAACUCAUGUGUAGUACUAUGUGUAGGCUACUAUGAGUAUAAGAUAGUUAUGGUCACAUGUGUAGUACUAAGUGCAUGCUACUAUGUGUACCGGAUAGCUUUGGUCACAUGUGUAGUACUAUGUGCAGGCUACUACAUGUACCAGAUGGUAUUGGUCACAUGUGUAGUACUAAGUGUAGGCUACUAUGUGUACCGGAUAACAUUGAUCAUAAGGGUGGUCUAUGUGCGAAACCACCGUGUAUCUGUUAUUAUUUCGAAGUGUUCAUUGGGAAAAUCGACUAAGUGAAAUUAUGUGUGACUAUGUGGUGAUAAGUGCAGGUAUAUGUAUGUGUAUACUCAUGAGCAAUGUGUUUGGUAUGUGAUUGAAAUGUGGUAAAGUUGCAAAGGAGUAAGUGAAGUGAUAAAGUCUUGUAUCAUGCAUGCAAGUUGAAUUAUGUUAUUGAAUGUUGAGCAUAUUGUUAUGAUGUUUCAUGAAAGAGUGAAAUUUGAAAUAAAAUAGUUUUGAACAACAACAGUUGUGUGAUUUUGAAAAAUCACUAAAAAAGGUUUAAAUUGAAUUAGAAGUUGAAUAAGAUAUGAAAUUAAAUAUUAUUGAGUCUAUUUUCAUAUAAAAGAAACAAUGUAAGCAAAAGAAUUUCAUAUUAUGAGAUAUUUGAAUUUUAGUGAGACAGGGUCAGAAUGAUUUCGGAACCCCCUAUCUUACCUUUGGAAAAUUAUUAAAAAUUGUAAAAAAAUAAUUAUGAGUUAUAAUUUAUAUGUUUAAAAUUUGGAAUGAGUCUAUUUUCAAGUUAAAAAACAAGAACAUCAUUUGAAUUCUUUACGGGAAGAUAAUUAGUUUUUAGUGUAGAAAGGUCGAAACUGUCAGACAGCAGAACAUGGGAGGCUUUAAAGAAUAAACUGUACUUAUUGGCUAAACCAAAAAUUCUAAAAAUUUUAUGCUAAGAAGAUAUGUGAUUCUAGUUUUAGGGAAAAUUUGAAGAACUAAAUUUAGAGUUCUGUAACUCAAGAUAUAAAUAAUUUAGUGACUAUGAUGCGAGUAAAUAGCUAGAUACGAACUUGAGUAAAUAUUGGAACUAUGUGCUUUUAUGAUUGUAUUAUUUUGAGAACAUAUUGUGAAGAUUCAUAAAAGCAUAUUAAUAAAUUUUUUGUUAUUUAUAUAUUAACUUACUAAGCUAUAUGCUUUCCCCCUUUCUUUUCCUUGUUUUAUAUUGUCACUAAGCUAGCUCGGGGUACGGAGAUUGUCGGAGAUCCAUCCACACUAUCAACACUCUUUUGGUAUUUUGAAAUCAAUAUUUUGAAUUAUGGCAUGUAUAGAAGGCUUGGUUAUUUUGUUAUGUGUCAUAAAUGAUUUGGCCUAAAAUGUUUGUCUAUGCUAUUUGAUAAUUUAUUUUGUAUAAAGCCAUUGAUGUUGGCUAAUAUUGAUCAAGUUAUAUGUUCAUGAUGAUGCAUUUCAUGGAUGUGCAAGCUUGCAUGACUUGACCGAAAAGUUUUAAUUUAAAAGUAUAUAUAUAUAAGUCUUGGUUUUGUACGAUUGCAUGUGUUUAUGUUCUGGUAAUGCCUCGUACCCUGCUCCAGCGUCGAACACAGGUAAGGGGUGUUACAUUUCCAAAAAUAGAAAUGGAAAUGAAAAUGAAAAUGAAAAUGAAAAUGAAAAUUUGCAAUCUUGUAUAGGAUUAGUUAAAAAAAUGAUGGAUGGAUGAGUUAAUGUUUUUGAACUAUUUUGAAGCCCAAAAAUCAAAAUAAACCAUUCGAUCAUAAUUUUCUCAAAAUUUUACUGGGGGUAAAAUCAUCAAAAUUUUAUCAAGGGUAAAAUUAUAAAAAAAUGUACUAAGGUAAAAUUGGGAUGAUAAAAUGAUUUAAUAUGUAGAUAUUAAAGUUUAUUGUGGGAAAUAGAAAAACUAAAUUAGGUUGGAUCACAUAAUAGAGUACUUGGUCAAAAUUGCCCAAGAAGUACUCGUAAAUGGACCCGAUGUGAGAGAGACUCAAAACCCUCAUAUAACAAGAAGGGGGUGACAACCCUAGUAGAAACACAAGGGUGAGUCGUUCACCCCUCUCAUACUCUAAGUAAGAUGUUUUUUUUCUAUUCAAAAUAAACCUCUCCAACUCUUUAAGGGUUCUACUUUCUCUUUCUAUAAAUAGAUGACAGCAGUAGAGAUAUUAACACAACUUGUGGAGAUUUUUAUUCUGUCAAAAAAUAGAGAGAAUUUAUUUCAAAACUGAUAAACAUAUUUUUUAGAAUAACAAUUUUACCGAUUUCUUUAUAAGAAGAGAGAAAUUUUGUUUUAACCCAAAAAAAACUUUUUCUAGUUUUGUGUUUUGCUUCAAUUGGUUCGAGCCCACAUUCGAAGCAGUUCAUGGUAUGAGAAUAGCGAAGACUAUCAUUUAGUUGAGAGUCAAAAAACAUUAAGGAUUCGCUUAUCAAAAAACACAGGUGCGUAUUUGGUUAAGGUUUAUUGUUAUAAAUAUCACAAAUUGAGUUAGUUUUCAAAAUUUUAAAUUUUUCGCCAUGGAAGAAAGUUGUUUUCAAACUAGGUUUUUUUUCCAAAAAUUGGUAUUAGAUCUAGGUUGUGAUAUGUUUAUGGUGUAAACCAAGAUAAAAUCUCUCUCUUCAUCUUGUUUGAUUAAUAGUUGAUAGGAUGUGGUAUUCUUGUAAUUAUUCACAUGUUUAGGGGAAUGCAUGUGAAUGAAUUCAUUAUUAUAUAUUUUUGUUAUAUAAUUAUUAUUUUUGCCAAUGUUGUAGUUCUUAGAAAAUAGACCGUGGGCUAUAAUCUCCACGUAGAGUUAUUUUUUAUUUAUAGAAUUCUUGUGAGCCGAAAACGGACAUAGGACAUAUAUGUAAAUUUUCCAAAAAGGAGUCCAUGACGAGGAAAAGAUGGAACGAUGGCGAUCAAAGACAUAAGGAAUGCCUUGUGAUGAAAAAUUAUGUAAUUUUUUUCAUUUAAUUUCUAGAAAUAGAACCAUGGAAACCUUCACUGACAAUUUUAUUUUAUUACGCAUCUCUUUAUAUAUCUGUUUAAUAAUUAUUUAUGAUAUAAUUGUGAUAUAUAUGUAUGAGAUGAUCCACUAUUGAUCUAUUAAAGAUAAGAAGUGUGAUAAUGAGAAAAUACAUGUGUUAUUCUGUUCACUACUUUAGGUUAUUCGAUUACUACGAGAAGUGUGGAAAUGGAAAGGUGCAUGUUUAGGAUUGGAUUUGGCAAGGAAAGACUUGAUUUUUAAGUGGUCAAAUAUGACUUACCUCCCUUUCUUGGGAUCCUACCUGGUGCAUGAGUCACAUUCACUUCUUCAGUUUUUCCCUAAAAGAAAAAUUGUGGAGAAUCAAAAUUGUUUGAUUGACUCUUGUGAAUGAAUGAAUGUGAAUAUUAUAAAAUUUCCAUAGCAUGUCAUGUAUACAUGAGAUAAGAAUGCCAUAUAGUUUAGGAAAGAAUGCCACAUGUACUUGUCAUGCAUAUAUUGAUAAUACAUGAUUGAAAUCAAAAAUUAAAAACCUUGCAUGUUUUUGAAAUAUUGAGUGGGAGAACGUCCCUAAACAAUACCUGUGGCAUCCAUCAAUGGUCUCUUGUGAUGGCAUGAAAUGGACCUACCCCAAGGUAGACGUUGUCAUGUAGAUUUAACUAAGGAGACUACCUAAAAGUAAGCAAAAAUUUCUUAUUAUAAUAUAAUAGUUGGACCAACCCUUGUGGUAAGUAUUAUCAUGCGAUACAUUAAGAAAUUCUAUCUUCAAAAGAUGAAAACUAGUCAAAGCAUGCUACUUGAUGAAAUUGUCCCACGAUGACUCAUUUGUGGUGCAAUAUGCGAUACGUGUUGAGUUGAUGGUUGUACACUAAAGAAUUUAUAGUUAAGUAACUCCCCGCGGAGCUUUACUUUAGUUAGAAUGAUGGCCAAACGUUACACGAUUAUUAGUACAUGUGAAUGCCUAAGGAAUUAGGUUCAUGUACUAAUUGGAUGGAAAUCCAUAUUCUUACUAGUUGAUCAUGAUCACUCUACGGUAGCUUUAUUCAAUGGAUGUGGGAAUUAUCAUUGCAAUGACUUACAAAUGUUUUUAAGGUUUAAUGUAAGAUGCAUGCAUCAUUUAAAUUAGGGGUGAGUAUUCGAUCGAGUUGAGUUGAAUCGAGUCAAAAAAAAUUGAGUUGGUAGAGUUGACGAAUCCUAUUUUAGCAACUGAACUCAAUAUAAAUUUUUUCGAAUAGAAUUAAGUCAAAAAAUUUCGAGUCAAGUCGAGUCGAGUUAGUGAAUCCUAUUAUUUAUACUCAAUGUUGCAUUUACAUGGACCGAUUAUUUAACUAGUAGACGAUGUACAAAAUUAUUUAACUACAUAAACAAUAUAAUGGUUUUGCCUUUUUAACUUAAUGGGUUUUUAACUUUUAAAAAAGUAAACAUUUAUCAAAAUAAUGUAGUUUUGCCUUUUCUUAUUCGGAUUUUUGGAAAACUCGAAUUGUGUAAUUCAUAUUCGAGUUAAAUAAAAAAACUUAAUUUUUUAUUCUAGUUGAUCCAAAUAACUUGGUUAACUCAAAUAACUCGAACUAUUUAAUUCAAAAUUUGUAUUUUUUAUCGAGUUUUUUGAAUCGAAUCAGAUUUUGCUCACCCCUAAUCUUAAUGCUUAUCGUAAUGUUGCAAAAUGUUUUGAGACAUUUGCUUAAUACGAAGAUAUUUAUAUAUGAAUGUUUUAGUUUCAAUUUAAAAAUGGCACCAACUCCCUUAUUAAACAUACUCACUGUAAACAAAUUGAACGAAAGUAACUACAAGGAAUGGAAAAGGAACCUAAUAAUUGUCCUGAGCUAUGAGAAACUUAGAACUGUUCUUGAUAAUAAGUGCCCACAGGCCACUCAAGCUGAGGUUAUAAAACGCUAGGCAAAGUCUGGUUAGAUAGCUCGUUGCUACUUGCUAUCAGGGGUGAUGAGUACUUUGUAUAAGUAACUAGAGAGCUGUAAAACUGUUAAAGUGAUUCUAGAUAAGCUAGAAGACAUAGUCAGAGGCCAAGUUGCCUUGGCUCAAUAGUUUGCCAUAACUAACUUGAUGAAUGCCAUGAAAAAGUCUGACACUCCGAUCAAAGACCAUAUGAUCACUGUUAUGGGCUACUUUGACGAGGCUGUGGAAAAUGAGACAAAUUUUGACCAAAACACUCACAUUGAAAUGGUCAAUGUAACACCUCUAACCUGUAUCUGUCGCCGAAAUAGGGUUAUGGAGCAUUAUCGAACAAUCAAAACUAUAAAUCAUUCAAUUCAUACAUCAACACAAACAUAACUUAAUUUCAUUCAAAUACAUUCAUAGUGUCCCUUAAUCGAGCCUUCGAGGCCCAAAGAAUACAAUAGAAACAAUUUAGGACUAAAUUAGAAACAUUUGGAAAGUUUAGGAAAAAUUUUAAAAAAAUUGGUCUGCAGGGGUCACAUGCCUGUGUCUCAGGUCGUGUAGCAAUCAAAAUAAGGACACACGGUCGUGUCCCAGCCCGUGUAACUCUCUGACUUGGGUCAUAUGGUCAAGCCACACUCCUAUGUGCUAGGUCGUGUAACCCUCGAAAUGGCCUCACAUGCCUGUGUGCAAGGCCAUGUGCUAAGCCAUGUAUCUUUCAAAAAGUAACCUUUAAACCUGCAAGGGACACACGGUUGAGACACACACCCGUGUCUCACGCUGUGUAGACCUAAAAUGAGCCUUAAACAACCAGGUUACCAUUUCAAGCUUACUUGGGACCUAAGCAAACCAUUUUCCAAACAAAACACCAAUUCAAAGUGCCUUUAAUCAAGCUAAAAACAUGCCAAAUGAACCUAUUAAGUACCUAACCAAUGUACUCUUAUUGGUACCACAAGUACAUACAAAUUUAUAUCAAAAGAAAACAUCAAUUCAACCUAUCAAUUUAUUCAAACUAACACCUAUCAAUACCAUUUCAAACAUACCAUAUCUUAACCAUAUAAUAACCAAUUCAUCACAUACUCUUUUGGCCACUCCAACAAAUAUCACAUAUCUAUAUUAACACAUUCUAAUAUGGCACCAAAAGUACCAAAAGGAGAUCAACCAAAACAAUUUAUACUACAAAGUUCAUACUUAACUAUUUACAUAUCCACAAUGUUAAUAUCAACAUUCAAACCUAUUACAUGUAAUAUAAUCUGAAAUAAAUGUUCCAAAAACUACCGAAUUAAGUUGGAUAGUGUGACUUGAGUGCGGAUCCGAUUGUCCAACCUUCCAAGUAUUUACAAAAUCAAAAAUUAAAACUAGUAAGCUUAAUGAUACUUAGUAAGUUCGACGUAUUAAAACGAUAAAUCUUACCAAAGUAAAUAUAACAAUUCAAACAUUAAAAAUACAACCACGAAGAUUCCUUGUCAUCCACAAUCUCACCUAAUAAAUCACAUACUAUCAAUUUAAUAUUUAAUUGUAUAGUAAAUCCAUCAAAAUUUUUAAACCAAAUACCUUAACGAGGUUUUCAAUUCAGAGAAUGAAUUAUAGAUUGGAGUACAUUGUCAAUCCAAAACACACUAGAAGCUCACACGAGCCAAUCCCUCCAAAACACGCCAUAUGCUCACACGAGCCAAUCCUUCCAAACAUGCCAGAUGCUCAUAAGAGCUAAUCCAUCCGAAACACACCAAAUAGAAAGUAUAGCACGAGAGUUCGUAACAAAUUUUGAACCUUGGUUUACUUGGGUAAUAUGAAUAUACAUCACUCCAUAACCAUCUCAACUCCAAUCCCCCGUAACACACCAAAUCACGAUUGUACUCUAUCUUGCGUUCAAUUCAAUCUGAACAUCAAAUUCGAUAACAUAUCUCAAACGAUCGUUCAUCGUCAAAAAUGGAAUAUAUAUUGUAUCAUGAUAUAACAUUAAAAAAUUCAUAUAAAUGUUAAAUUUUAGACCGUACAAACUUACCUGGAUUGAAUUGUAGUAGUUGCAAAAGUUCAGGGACUAUUCCACAAAAUUUGCCUUUCCACGAGUAUCUACGGGAUCUUGAUCUAAAAUGUAAAAUUCCUCAAUUAUUAGCAUAUAUUUCACAUUCCAAUCCAUUUAAAAUUAGUACCUUUUUAUUUUUUAAAUUUACACAAUUAUCCCAAACUUUUACAAUUUUUGUAAUUUAGUCGUUUCAACCUAAAUUGAUCAAAUUAAUCAUUUUUUCUCAAAUAAAAAUUCUAUAUAAAUAUAAUAGGACCUUCAAGAGUCCCUAAUUAACAUUAAAUUCACAAUCAAACAAUUGAAUUUUGACAUUUUCACAAUUUAACCCUAAAAUCAAAAUUUUACAAAAAUCACUUUAUAAAAUCAUCAAACAACACAAUCAAAGCUUCAAACACAUGGUAGUCAUAAAAAAAUUCAAUAUUCAUCAAUGGAAACAUCCAAAUUUUUUAACAGAAUAAAAAACGAAGAUAUGGGCUAGCUGGAUCUAGUUGCAACGAUCGCAAAAAUAUAAAAAUUACAAGAAACAAGAUUAAAAUGAACUUACAUGCAAGGUUCCUAUGCUAGCAAAAUAUGAAGCUUUCAAAAAUGGUGAAAUUCCUUAGGUUUUCAGCAAGAACAUGAAAAAGAUGAUGAUUUUGGCUUUUGUUUAAUUAAAAUUUAAUUUAUUUACCAAAUUACAUAAUUACACUUAAUUAAAGCCUUAUAAAACUACCAUUUAAAAACCUAUUAUGGUACAUUAAUAUUCAAUUGGACUAAUUAUUAUUUAAGUCCCUUUUUAUUCCAAAAUUAAGCUAUCAAAUCAAUGGAAUUCAAGAUUUACUCAAUUUUGUACCUUUUUCAAUUUAGUCCUUUUUUUUUCUCAAUUAACUAUCUAAACGUUAAUAUUUCUAAACCAAAUUUUAAUAGAACUCUAAUGAAUUUUUAAGUAUUCUAAAAAUAAUAUUUACAAGUUGAUAUAACUGAAAUUUGUGGUCUCGAAACUACUAUUUCGUCACCACUUAAAAUCGGGUUGUUAUAGUGUUCAAAAGUUGGUCAAAGGAUUUUACUGGUUUUUGGGCCGCAUAUAACCUUGGCAACAAAAACCUAUGAGUUGAUGUUGAACAGAGGUCAACCGAUCCAAAGAGCAGAAGCGAAUAUAGCUAUCGCUUCUUCCUUAAAAGGGAAGGGAAAACAUGUUAAGAAAGGCAAGGCUAAGGUCUCUAGGUGACCGCCUCCGAACGUACUAACAUCCAAAGUGUGAAUACUAUAGUAAAAGAUAUGUAUAUGAGGUGGUAUUUGCAAGUAUAUUGGUCCAGUUAUAAUAUAGUUACAACUAAGUAGGUGAGUGCUCCAAGGAUCGUACCCAAGGGAGGCUAGUGCUAGAUCAAUUUUAACCUAAACACAGAAAUAUCUAAUUAGUACUCUAAAUCAGUUAUAGUACGAAAACAUAUAUGAAAGGGAUUUUUAAAUUUUUUAUAAUAAUAAAACAACAACGAAAUAAAUAACAAGAAAGUCAAAAAUAGGAUUAAUCGAAUUUGAAUAUGGGUGAUUAAGUCGCUUCGGUAAUCCUUAUUGAAUAUCGCUUUGGAUUUCUCAUUAAUUAACUAGUCACUACCUAGUAGGAUUUCCAAUUUUCCACUUAAAUAACGAGUCGAUAAGGACUACUUAUCUUCUGACCUCACAGUCCAGACCGGCUUGGGGUGAAGGUGUUCACGGAUAGUCCAUUCUAAUUUUGGGUUAAUUCCUACCUUGAUGACUUCCUAGGGUUGUCAGGUGGAACGAAGGAAAUUUGCAAGUGUACAUAACCGCAACAAGUAAUAAAGUGACAAGUAAAUGUCGAAUUAUCGUACGGAUAGGAAUUGUGAAAGAAAAAUAUUUAUGAAAUGUAAAUCAAACACUUUGGUGAUUAAAAACAUUUUGAGUUUGAGGAAAUGUGUUAAAAACUAAAACUUAAAUAACUAAUUAAAUAAGGAAAAAUUAAAAGUAGAAAUUUCAAUGCACAAUUUAUAAAAAAAAGUUUAAAUCAAGAUGACAUAAAUGUGUUGGAUCAAUCACAUUUUGUAACUUAAAAUUACUAAACUCAUGCUCAUGUUGUUACGAAUAAUUUCAUGGCAACUUGAUAACUUGCUAACUAGUGGACAUACAUACUUAUGAAAUUAACCAAUCUCCUGAACAUUUUCUAAUGCCAAUUAAAAAGAUUAAUCAAUCUUCAUAAGCACAUAUAAGUUUAAGCGAAGUAACAAAAUAUACCUAUAUUGAAACAGUUUAAUCACAAUAAACUUGCAAGUUAUGCAUGGCUAAUGUAUUGUUUAAUACCGCCGCUAAUUUAACCUUUAGCUACCUUAGAAGAUUAAACAAGCACCAAUUAAGUACUGUGUCUAUUAAUUACAAUUUCAUUUUGUUUAAAUAAUUAAUUCAAUUGUUACCUUAAAAUUAUAAUGUAAGCAUAACAUAAACAUGAUUUCUGGAUGGUUAUUCGUGUAACAACCUGAUUUUGGGCCUAGUCGGAACAGUGGUUUCAGGACCACAAAUUCGACAAGGAUAAAAUUUAUUUUUAUUAUAUUUUUAUGGUCUACGAUUUCACAAAAUGAUUUUGUGAAAAUUUCGACGUUUGGGCACUCAAUUUAGUCAAAAGGACUAAAUUGUAAAAAGUGCAAAAGUUGAGAUCUACAUGUUAGAGGUGUCCAAUUGUUAUGAAAUUUUAAAUUGGAGGUUCUUAUAUGGUAAUUAGACCAUUGGUUAAGUUGGUGGACAAAAAUGGACAUGGUUAGGCAUGUUUCCAAAGUUUUUCAUUAAGGGCAUUUUGGUCAUUUAGUUAUUAAAAUGAAUUAAAAACAAAAUUAAAAGCCAAUUUUUGUCCAUCUUCAACCCCUAGGUCAAAAAUUGCAUGGAGAAACCAUGGCUAGGGUUUUUCAAGCUUCCAAGCUCGAUUGCAACUCCGUUCUAGCCCCGUUUUUAAUAAUUUUUACGUUUUUGAAAUCCUCAUAAUAAGAUUUACCUAUUUUUACCAUUAUUUUGAACUAGGGUUUGUGUUUAAAAAUUUACCCAUGAAUGAUAUGUUUCGAAACCAUUUUUUAUUUUUUUGAAAAAAUAAAAAUUAGUUGUCGAUGAAAAUAGGAGUUGCCACCAAUUUUUUUUAAGGUGUGAUUGGAUCACCUAAAAAUGACUUUGGUCUACGAGUUUUAGAAAAAUGGGUUCGGGAGUCAGUUACAUACGAGGAAGGAUCAGCACCCCCGUAACGCCCAAAAAUUGGUACCAAGUUGAUUAAUAAAUAUCUUAAUGUCGAGAGUUGAAAAAUACGAUCCUUAAUUAAAUUAAAUUAUUUCUUAAGACUUCCUCAUUUUGAAAAGAGAAAAUAUCACAUCCAAUGCGUUAGGGCACAAUAUUUUAUUCUUUUCAAGACGAGUUGGUCCAAAAAAAAACUCGUGUAAUAAAACUUAAGAAAAUAUUUAAUUGUUUAAAUUUAUGAAGAAAUCGUGGUCCAAUACGUUAGGGUACGAUUUCCUAAAAUCCCAAACAUUCAAUAUUUCCUUUAUCAUUUUAAAAAAAAAUCUUUGUCUUGAGAAAUCAACGUGUCACAUCCAAUACGUUAGGACACAACAUAUUGAAUUCGCGAUGAUAAGUUUUAUUUUGUUUGAUCAAAGAGUAAUUCUCGAUUUUUGGAUUUAACAAAGAAAAUCGGAACCCAAUACGUUAGGGCUCAACUUACUUGAAAAUCCUAAAUACGAGUAUUGUCUCUAUUUUGAAAAGUUCUAUUUUUUAAGUUCGAGUAAAAGAUGACGUGAUUGAAUGUAUGCAUAAAUGUCACAAUAACAAAUACAUCAAUAGCAUAGAAACAAUAUAAGCAAAUAAAUAAACGAAAUAAAAUAAUCCAUUGCAUGCAAAAUAUUACAUGAAUAAAUGUAAAUACAAUUGAAUAACGAAUGAAGAAAGCAAGCAAAAUAAAUAAAGAUAAGAAGGUAUAUAAUAUACACAUGGAAAUUAUGAAGAUUAAAAUAUACAUAUGAUUUACAAAUAAAUUUUUGAGUUAUAGAAUUUAUAUAUAUAUACAAUUCAUAAUAUAUUUAUGAAAAUAAAGAAAAAUAUAUAAACAUAUAUAUAUAUAUAUAUUAUAAAAUAGGUGUUUAAAAAAUAUAUAUUUGAGCAUUUAAAAAACAACUAAAUAAUAAAUGAAUAAAUAAAUACGUAUAUAUAUAAAUAUAAAAAAAAAUAUUUGUUUUUUUUUAACUUAUAUGCGCGUGUGCACAUAUAUAAGUAAUAAAUAUAUACAUAUAUGGAUUAUAAAAAAUUACAUAUGGAUAAAACAAAAUAAAAAUAAUUAUAUUAUAUUACAAAAAUAAAUAUGCGCUUGUAAAAAAAUAUAUACAUAUAUUUUAAAAAAUAAUUAAAUAUGAAAAAGAAUAAUAAAAAACUAAUUAAAAAAAUAAGGAAAAUGAAAAAGGACUAAUUUGAACUGUAAAUAAAAAUCUGGGGCAAAUUUGUGAAUAUUUGAAGAUCGAAGGACCCUAUUGAACACGUUAAUAAUUCAAAGGGGCUGGAAGGGAAAUUUUCCCUUCUCCUCUAAAACGACGUCGUUCAAAUAGGGCUAAAUUGAAAUUGAAAGUAAAUUAAAGGGCAAAAUUAAAAAAAAUAAAAAAAAACUAAUCGUAAAAAUAUUAAAAGGCGGAGGGGCUAAAAGCGUAAUUUACCCCUCCGUUCAAAACACGUGGAUCCUAAGCUGGAUCGGGUCGGAUUCGGGUCAAACCCGGGCCUUAAACGGCACCGUUUUGAAGGGCUAUUUAAGCCCAAAAUCAGUUCAAAAAACCUCAUUUUCAUUCUUUUAAAAAAAACCAAAAAAACCUUCACAAAAAGCUCUCCCCUUUCUCAGCUCAUUCGGCCUAGAUCCGGCACCGGCCGAUCGUCGGCCACUGCGCUGGCCGCCGGCCUCCGAUGACGGCUCCACCGUCUGUGGUGGCCGGAGAAGGAGAAAAUCUCCUAUUCGGCUCCUCCGACCUCUCCAAGCCCAAAUCUGGGUUCGAAUCCCUAAAAAAAAACUACCCAAAUGUCUCCAAAUUUUCGAGAAACCUUUCGGUUCCCUGCUGUCUAUCCUCGAAGACGACUGCCUCGGCCGUUCACGGUGAUCUGAGCAAAGAAUGUUGUUUCUUUCCCUUUUUAUAUUUGUAUUUAUACGCAUGCAAAUAAGAAAAAACAGUAAACUAAAGUAAAGCAAAUAAAUAUAGACCUUUAAAUAGAUUUUCUGCUUUCUCUGUAUUGAACUUGUUAUUUGUAUUUGCUGUGAAAAUAAAAUUUUUUUAUUUUUCGGAUCCCGAUUACAGUGUAUUGGUGGCUUUUUUAUAGCCAAAUGAAACAAUUAAAAGAAGAAACAAAAUCUGUUUUCUUUUGAUUUGCGAAUCUUUUAUUCUUUCCAUAUACUGCUAUUUCUCUUCUUGAUGCACAGGUAUGAAGAUCACGUGGAGAUUCGGGGCAUGGUUGCGGCGCUGUUGAUCUUGAGAAACCCUAGGGUUUCUGAUUUUGUUUUGGGCCAUUUGUUUUGGGCCACCGUAUUUUAGUUUAUUUCAGUUUGGGCCAUACAGUCGCACUAGUAAUUUGGACUGCUUUAUUUUAUUCAUGUAAGCCGGGAAAAAUUGAGGUAUUACAAUACGGAUGUAUUUUGAUGUUUUAUGGAAGAAUAUGAAUGUUUGGAGUGUGAUGAACGCCUUUUACUAAGUGAUUUUCGAUGAAAAUGCCUAAAAGGAUUAAUUUAGAAAAGUUAUAAAAUAUGUCACAAGUGUGUGAAUAAGUGAGAAUUGUGGACUGCUAUAGUUAUGAAAAUGGUUUGGCUAGGUCUAAAAUCCAAGAAAAUUGAAUAAAAAAUAUUUUACGAGCCUAGGGGCAAAAUUGUAAUUUUGUGAAACUUUAGGGGCAAAAAUAUAAUUUUUCCAAAGUGUGAUUUUUGGACUAAAUUGAAUAAUGUGAGUUUUAAACAAGUUAAAUAUGUUAUUAUAAAUCAAGAAAGACGAGAAAUUGACUUGAUCAGUAAAAAAUGAAAAGUGAGAAAAAGUGAAAUUAUGAAAGAGUACAUUUAGCAACAAAACAGUUUAAACAGCAACAAUUGUGUGACUUUGAAAAAUCACCAAAAAUGGUGGAAAUUGAAUUAGAGGCUGAAUAAUAUAUGAAAUUAAAUCUGAAUGAGCCUAUUUUCACAUAAAAGAGACAAAGCAAGAAAAAGAGUUUUAUAUUAUGAGAUAUUUCAAUUUUAGUGAGACAGGGCUAGAAUGAUUUCGAAAUCCCCUAUUCCGACUUUGGAAAAUCAUUAAAAUUUUACAAAAAGAAUUAUGAGAUAAACUUUAUAUUUUUAUAAUCCUGAAUGAGUCUAUUUUCAAGAAAAAAAAAGAACAUUAUCUAAAUUCUGUACUAUGAAAUAAUUAAUUUUUAGUGAAGAAAGGUCAGAACUAUUGAGUAGUGAAAUAGGGGAAACUUUAAAGAAUAAAAAGUACUUAUUGGCUACAAAAAAAAAUCAAAAAAAUUAUGGUAAGAGUAUAUGUGAGUCUAGUUUUGGGAAAAAUUAACAGAUCUUAAUUUGGAGCUUGGUAGCUCGAGAUAUAAAUAAAUUAGUGACUUUGACUCUGACAAACGGUUUGAAUUUACAUACAGGAAAAUAAUGAAAGUAUGGAUAAUGUUGUUUAAGUGUGUUAUACACAUUAAGGAUGUGGAAUGGAGAGGAGGAGGAGGAAAAUUGGAAAAUAUAUGAAUGAUUUGUGUAUAAUUGGUCAUAUGCUCGAUUAUGAUGGAUAAACAAUGAAAUAGAAAUGAUGCUUAUAUUUGCGUAUGAUUGGUAAUGGUUUAAGCUCAUGUGGGAAAAUAAAGUUUCAUAGUAUGUGUGUAUGGUAUAUUUGGAAUAUGAUAUGGCUUAAGGUAAUGUCAUGAAUGGUUUAUGAAUUAACACAUGUUGGUAAGUUUGAUACAUGAACAAAUGUUGUGCUCAUCUAUGCUUAUAAUGCUUAUGCUAUAUGUUUAUUUGGUUAACAUAUUUGGUGUACAUGCUUAGGCUUUGGCCAAGUUGUGGUUGGAUUAUGCCACGUUAAACUUAUAAGUUAUGCAUUGAGAUGGUAAGUGCCUAAAUUGAAAUAUGCUUGUGAUCAUGACAGGGGUGGUAAGGUUUAAUAUAUGUAAUCUCUAGUGAAAUGGUUUAUCACGUGGUUAAUUCCAAAAAAAGGAAUUAUGUUUAAAUGCAUUAGCUUGCGGCUAUGGUUGAAUGGUAUGCUUAUGUCUUGUGUGAUAUGCAUAGGAAACGGGUGUGGAAGGAUAAUGAAAUAGUAAGUUCAUAUUUGAAGUGAAAAGUGAUGAAAAAGGGGAUGAUGAGUUUAAUUGAUGUUGUUAUUUAAGCUAAAGUGUUAUUUUCAUUGUAAAAUUGAGAAUUUCAUAAAUGUGUUAAUGAAUGGUAUAAUCGAUAAACGUUGAGUUAAAUGGUAAAUACGUAUUAGUAUUGAACUUACUAAUAUUGAAUUGUACAUGAAUUAAAUGGAAAUUGCUAGUGAUAUGAUUUGAAUUGUGAGCAUGAGAAAUUGUGAAUUGAAUAAAAAGAAAUGAAGCAUUGAAUUGCAUGAGUAUGUAUCGGGUCUCGUAGGCCCUUUUUAUUAUGAAUAUAAUAUUUUGAGGAUAAAUUGUGAAGAAUUAUAAAAGCAUGCUAAUAAUUUGAAAGUUUAAAUUUAGAUGAAAUUUUAUAACUCGGUUCAAUACGUUUACAAGUAUAUGUGUUCUGGUAAUGCCUCGUACCUUAUUUCAGUGUCGAAUACGAGUAAAGGGUGUUACAAUUCGGGGUACAACCAGAUUGCUAGAGCUCUUACUAAUCAAGAGAAGACCACAUUCACAUGUGUUUAUGGAACUUUUGUGUUAUGAAGAAUGCCAUUUGGAUUAUGCAAUGCCCCUGCAAUAUUUUAGCAUUGCAUGAUGACAAUAUUUUCAGACAUAGUCGAGAAAUUUUUAGAAGUUUUUAUGGAUGACUUCUUAGUGUUUGGCGAUACUUUUGAAGACUGUUUAGAAACUAUGGAGUUAGUUAUUUGUAGGUGUGAAGAAACCAACCUUGUUAUCAAUUGAGAGAAAUGUCACUUCAAGGUCUGUGAAUGUAUUGUUCUGGGACGUAAAAUUUCGCAGCAAGAGAUUGUCGUGGACAAAGCAAAAAUUAUGGUUUUUGAGAAAUUGCCACCACUUUGCACAGUUAAAGGUAUUCGCAGUUUUCUUGGCCAUUCAGGAUUCUAUCUAUGAUUUAUCAAAGAUUUUUUAAAAGAAAUCCAAAACCCUGUGUACAUUUUUAGAACAUAACAUAACUUUCAAUUUUGAUGAGUCAUGCUUACAAGCAUUUGAGGAAUCGAAAAAGUGGCUAGUCACAACACCAAUAGUCAUAGCACCAGAUUUGUUUUUACCUUUCCUUGUGAUGCUAAUGAUUUUGCUGUAGGGGUAGUACUUGGGAAAAGAAAGGACAAGGUAUUUCAUGCUAUCUACUAUGCAAGCCAUACAUUGACAAAUUCAUGGUUAAAUUAUACCACCAUUGAGAAAAAGCUAUUAGCUUUGGUAUUUGCCUUCGACAAAUUUAGAGUUUAUUUAGUGGGCACCAAAUUUACGGUUUAUGCGGACCAUUUUACUAUUAAGUACUUGGUGACCAAAAAAGCUGCCACGCCCAGAUUAAAUCGAUGGACACUACUACUGCAGGAAUUUGAUUUGGAAAUUAGAGAUAGGAAAUGUACAGAAAAUCAAGUGGCUGAUCACUUAUCUCGAAUUGAAGCAGGAAAUGAAGACGGUAAUAUUCAGCGCAUUCAGGAUGAUUUCCCAAAUGAGUAACUGUUAGUUGCCAUGGCAUUACUGUGGUAUGCCAGUAUCGUAAAUUUUUUGGUUAAUGGAUUGCUGCCACCUGAGUUCACCAAUCAAAGACGAAGUAAACUUAUCCAUGAUGCCAAAUAGUAUUAUUGGGAUGAGCCAUUUUUAUUCAAAUAUUGUGCAGACUAGAUAAUUCAGAGGUGUGUUCUGGAUGAUGAGAUUCAAAGUAUUUUAUAUAAUUGUCAUUCAACACCGUAUAGAGGACACUUUGAAGGCAUGAGAACUGCUGCAAAAAUUCUCCAAUCUGGUUUUUAUUGGCCAAACAUGUUUAAAGAUGCUCAUGAAUUUUUUCAAGCUUGUGAUCGCUGUCAAAGAAUUGGAAAUCUAUCGAGGAGGUAUGAAAUGCCUUUGCAAACUAUUUUAGAAGUGGAACUAUUUGAUGUAUGAGUAAUUGAAUUUAUGGGUCCAUUUCCACCUUCUUGGGGCAAUGUAUACAUACUUGUAGCUGUUAAUUAUGUUUCCAAGUGGGUUGAGGUUGUUGCUAUACCAGUGAACGAUGCCAAAUCGGUAUUGAAAUUUUUACAUAAGAAUAUUUUUACUAGGUUUGGUACCCCUCGUGCUUUGAUUAGUGAUGAAGGUUCACACUUUGAUUGCAAAUUAGUUGCUAAUGCUCUGACCAGGUGUGGAGUUAAACAUAAAAUUACCACGGCAUACCAUCACCAGAGAAAUGGACAAGUAAAAGUCUCUAAUAGAGAGAUUAAACAAAUUCUGGAAAAGGUAGUCACUCCCACCCGCAAAGAUUGGUCAGCCAGAUUAGAUGAAGCUUUGUAGGCAUAUCAAACUACAUUUAAGACACCAUUAGGGAUGUUUCCUUUCAAGCUUGUUUAUGGGAAACCUUAUCAUUUUCCCGUUGAAAUUAAACAUAAGACAUAUUGGGCAAUUAAGAAAUUGAAUAUGGAUUGGAGUGCUGCUGGUACUAACCGCCUAUUUGAGUUGAAUGAGAUGGAAGAAUUCAGAGCACAAGCUUAUGAGAAUGGUAAGCUGUACAAAGAAAAGACCAAACAAUGGCAUGACAAUAAGAUUUUGCCACGCCAAUUUUCACCUAGACAACAAGUCUUGUUAUUUAAUUCUAGGCUUAAAUUGUUUCCUAACAAAUUAAAAUCUCGUUGGUCUGGCCUAUUCGAGAUAGUGCAUGUCUAUCCUCAUGGAGUUGUAGAAUUCAAAAAUGGCAAGAUUGGUUCUACUUUCAAAGUCAAUAGGAAAUAAUUAAAGCAUUACUUUGGAGUUCCUAUAAUUCGUGAUAAAAAUUCCAUCACUUUUCGAACUGCUUAAUAUUUCUUCCCUGUAUUGUUUUAUUCAUUUACUUUUUUUUUAAUUUCAUUGUUUAUUUUAUUCAAUAAGUUUACUGAACUUUUAUUUUCUUUUAAUUUCACUAGGCACCAUCUUCUUCCACCUCUGUGCAUCUGAGGUCAUUCUUUAGCAAAACCCCGUAAGAAAAAUAUAACAAGAACAUAUCAAAAUGACCUUUUUGCCUGGAAAAAUGUUUCCUUUUCCAAGAUGCCCCUUUUAUGGGCUAUUCUGAAGCCAUCUCAUCUAUCGUGGAGAAACACAGGUGGAAAAUAUUCUGUGUCCACUCUGAUGACCUCCUCACUAAGAUAGUCAAAGAAUUUUAUGCACAUUUAACCUCUCUUGAAAAUGCUUUCACCUAUGUGCGUGGUGUCUCAGUGUUAUUUGAUGAAGAGUAAAUCAAUGUGAAAUAUGGGUUACUUGAAGGCCCUGAUGAACACUCUAAAAUUUUCAAGACAAUGACGACUGAAAGGACUCAACCAAGUUUUGACAGAUUUAUGUGUAGAAGGAACAACAUGGAAAGUUUCUCGAAAUGAUUGCUAUACCAUCGACUGUGUAACUUUGAAGCCUCAAUGUAGGGUUUUGUAUUAUUUCCUUAAAUCUCAUCUUAGUCCUUCUACGCACAACUCUACUAUUUCGAAGGAAUGCAUGUUGUUGCUACACUCGAUUAUGAAUAGAAGAAAGAUAAAUGUUGGAAAAAUUAUUUUUAAGUAAGUCCACCACUGCGCAGAAAAGAACGUCGGUACCUAAAUCUUUCUGUUGCUCAUUGUGACACUGUGUCAAAGAGUAAAGGUUCCUACUUAGGCAAAUGAAGACAAAAUCCCCAAUAAAGGAGCCAUAACCAAGCGAUUUGCCCUGAGAUAUUCAGGGGAGGAAAUGCCAAACCAUCUUGGCUCUACAUCCAUAGCUUCUCUACCUAUGACUACUAAUGCUGCCCCAUCAACAUUUCACAGCGACUUUGAGCAGAAAGUGAUUGAUGCUCUUGAGAUGUUGCAACAAGAAUUUCGGAUGAUGGAAAAGUAACAAUUGAGGGUAGUCACUGAUUGUGCCGAGCUUAAGAAGAAAUGACUCUAUUUUGGGGAUAUGUCAGACAAUGGAACAAAGCCAUUAAGAAAUAUCUUCAAAGUAAAUUUACCUGACCUAUGCCUACAUUCCCUAUUUUUCCUAAAGAAUUAUUGUUGGAGCUAGAAGAUGAUGAUAAAGAUAGAGAAGAAGCCACUGCAGAGAAGAAGAACAUAGAAAAAGAGGGAGAUGAGGAGAAAGCUAAAUUCGUGCAUAUUGAAUUUGAUAAGGAUGAAGUUGAUAUGACUCAAACUUCUAUGCUUGCUACAAUUGCCACUACACCGAAAUCCACUACACCUAUGACCGAGCAAGAGCAUGCGGUUCAUCAACUGAUUGAUGAUUUCACAAAAUCAGAUACUGGUGAUGAUGAAGAGGUGCCAAUUAACCAACUAAAAAGGAAGUGCUACAAGCAAGUUACUAGGAAAUCAGUUCGAGAUGAUGCUGGUGAAGUGGAAAGGAAGCAGCGCUAAAAUUACGCUGCCAGAAAACCAACCCAACCCAAUUAGAGUAACCAAAAUUCCUUCCAAGCUUUUGUUUUUAUUUUCAUUUGCAUCUUUUUCAUUUUAUAACAUAUGUUUCAUGCAUUCAUAUUUGGUUAUCAUUGUAUUUUUAUAUUUGUAAGCUAUUGUUUUUGCAUUUUGAAAUGUUUCAUUGUUUAUGCAUUGAGGACAAUUCAUCCCUUAGGUUUGGGGUUGUGUUGAGUUGUAAAUAUUGUAUGCAGUAGAUAUAUGUUUUAAUAUUCAUGCAUUUUGUCAUUCUUUUUUCCAUUACAUACAAAUGCCAAGUAACUGCUAGACUGUGACAAGUAUAUUGUUAUCUAUGAUAUUCGAUGAAGAUAAUAAUUCUUCGAUAAAAUUAGAAUAUUGUGAUGCGUGUAUAGGUAUGUUUAGUUUUGGAUAGUUGUGUAAAAAUUGAUUCCUAAAAGUAGAGUGCCCUAUUUAAAAUUUUUAUUAGUUUAUCUUAGGUUUCUUUUAAUACAUUUAGGAAUUCUUAAACUUAAAUUCAGUAAACCGACUGUAUGUAAUAAUGAAUAUCAUGACAAAAUGAUAAGAAUCACUCCAAUAUUUGAAAAUGUUGAGUAGAUUAGUAAUGCUUUGUUUGCUCCAUCGCAAUAUUGAUCAGAAAAACAAGUUCAAAUAAGAGUGAGUAAAAAAAAUAGUUGAGGGACACUCCACUGUAGUAAUAGGUUGAUUACCUAAGGAGGUAGUUGUUUGCCCCAUCCAUCUUUUUAGUUAAAAGCCUUAGCUUCAUGAGUGAGUUCUAUUCAAAUUCUGGCAUGAUGUAAUACCAGGUAAUCUCGUGUAUGCUCUGUUGAGAUUGUCAAGGAAAGAAACCAUGUGACAAGAUGAAUUCCCUAGAAAAAAAAAUAUUUAUAAUUAAAGUUUUGAAAUGACAGAAUAAAUGAGAAUAUGGAAACUGAGUUUAGAAGAAAGAUAAACUAAGUGCAUUAGGAGGUAUUUACUAUAGUCAGAAUUGCAUGAAUAUUUAGGAAUUUUUAUUUUUAGGUAACAGUUUCUAGACUUCGUUUGCUAAACAAACCUACAAAAAAUGAAUAUAUAUAUUUUUUUUGUUUUAAUAGAUGACUGUUGAGAAUGGAAGUAUAGAAUAUGCGACAAAUGGUUUAGCAGUAUAUAUGGUAACUGUGUGUUAUGGAAAAUUCAUGCAUUCAUGCAUACUCAUACAUAUUUUUCUUGAGGACAAGCAAUAAUUCAAGUUUGAAGGUAUGAUAACUCUUUUCAAGAGUUAUAUUUUAGGUCUUUAGAUUGAUUUAAUUGUUUGUAAUUAAGUAAAUAUGUUUGCAUUUUUAGGAUAUUUUUAGAACAUUGCAUAACAAAGCUUGGAUUGUGCUAUAAAUGUCAUUAUUUGUUACUGAGGAAGAAAGGUGUUGGUUAUUGUUGGCAGUAGGUGCAGGAUGAAGAAGAGAAGAGAGAAAAGAGAAAGAAAAUGAAUGAAGUGAAAUAUUUCCAUAGAAAAAUGUUGGUUAGAUUGCCAACAAGAAUGCCAUGGAAAUUCCAGGAAGAUGACACAACACUCAGUUUACGUCACUCUCAACCAGCUAUUCUUGUUCUAGAUAAACCACCCUGAAAAAGAGGAAGCAAAAGGUGUGUGCUGAGAAGAAAGAACCUACCCUAUAAAGGAGGAAAGAGAAAAGAAAAGAGGGGAGAGGAUUUUGGGGAGAGAGGAAUUGGAGAGCAGUUUUUCUCUGCAUCGAAUUCUCGUGGAAAAUUUUAGAGAAAAGCGAGGAGAGAGUAGUAGCUUACAGAGCAAAAAUCACAAAUGCAAGGAAGGGAAAGAGAAAUCUAUCCUGGGUUUUGCAUCAAAUUUCAGUAUUAAAGUGAAAGCUGGAGUAACGAGAGCUUCCUGCAGUUCUGCCUUUAUUUUUUGAUUUGAACUUUGUGAUUUGUAAACUUGAAUGAUGAUGCUGAAUGGUUUUAUUUUGGAUUUUAAUGUCCAAUCAAUGAGCUAAAUCUCAUUAGGUUGGAAUUAUUUAGGUGAAUUUUUACUAUUAUUAAUGCCCAUGGUCUGAUUUUGAGUAGAUUACUAUUUCAUUCGAUUUGUGAUUAUUGUAAAUGCAUGCAUGCAAGCUCUAGACAUUAAUGAUUGUACAAUAUGUUGUUAGAUCUAAUUUAAUUCUAAAUAGACUAAAUAAAUUAGAUUAUUAUCGGUUGAUACUAGCGAGUAUUUGAAAGAAUAUUCACAUCACUCUAGAUGUAGAAGUUGCGAUCUGUACAGGAAAAGCAUGAACAGUCUUGAUAUCAUUCUUGAGUUCUGUAGACAUACAAAAACUCAGAAUGAUAGUCUGGCUCUCAAAAAAUUAAAAUUAUAGUAGUGAAUCCCUUAGCAGUAGAAUGGUCAAGAUUUUUCCAUGGCAUUAUUAUGAUAUAAAAUAAAACUUGAGUAAUUCCAGCAUUUAUCAUUCAAUAGUAUAAAUCCUCCUCACUUAUUCUUUGGGAAUUUCCACAGCAUUUCAAUUGCCCUAGCAUUUUUCAUUCAUAAUUGUUUUUCAAUUGCCUUUAAAAGAAUGCCCUUCGGAUUAUGCAAUGCUCUAAAAAAUUUUAUGGGAUGCAUGAAUGCUAUCUUUGCUGAUAUGUUGGAAGAGGGUCUAGACGUUUUCAUGGACAGUUUUUUGGUUUAUCGAAACUCAUUUCAAGAAUGUUUGGGUAAUCUUGAGAAAGUCCUAAAAAGAUGCGAGGAAACUAACCUAGUGCUCAAUUGGGAAAAAUGUCAUUUUAUGGUAAAAGAAUGACUUGUCCAAGGUCACCAAAUAGCAGAAAAGGGCAUGAAAGUAGAUAAGGCCAAAAUUGAGGUGAUUAAACAUCUUCCACACCGAACUAACAUGACAUGUAUUCGAAAUUUUUUAGGCCAUACAGGAUUCUACCGAAUAUUUAUAAAAGAUUUUGCUCAUAUUUCUAAACCUCUAAAUCAACUUCUUCAGAAAGAAACACCUUUCAUCUUAAACCAAAGUUGCAUCGAAGCCUUCGAGGUAAUAAAAGCCAAACUCAUAUCUGAUCCUACAAUAAUCACUCUAAAUUGGACAUAACCCUUUAUUAUUAUAUGUGAUGCUAGUGAUUAUGCAGUGGGUGUAGUUUUGGGACAAAAGCGAAAUAAUUUAUUUAGGGCUAUUCAUUAUGCUAGCAAAAUGCUUAAUCUAGCACAGUGUAAUUGUACUACAAUUGAAAAAGAGAUGUUAGCGGUAGUGUUCGCUUGCAAAAAGUUUUGACAUUAUUUAAUGGCAAACCGAGUCUAUGUGUACACUGAUCACUCUGCCCUCAAAUAUGUUAUGCAGAAAAAAGAAACAAAUGGAAGAUUAAUGUUAUGUGUUUUGUUACUUUAGGAAUUUGACUUAUGGAUUAUGGACAGAAAGGGGACCAAAAAUCAAAUCGUAGAUCAUUUAUCCAGAAUUGAGGGCAAUCUAUAGGUAGAAAAUACGGAAGAGAUUAAGGAGACCUUUGUAGAUGAGCAACUAUUCAGGGUAGACGUCAAUCAACCAAGAUAUGGUAAGCAUAGAAUAUCAUGGUAUGUAGAUUUUGUUAAUUGCAUUGCAUGAGGGGUCUUCCCGACUCAAGCAUCUUGGUAGCAGAAAAAGCGGAUAGUUCACGAAUCUAAAAAUUAUGUGUGGGAGGAACCAUACCUGUUUUGAAAAUACAUAGGUCAAUUAGUUCGGCGGUGUGUAGCAGAGGAAGAAAUACAUGAUAUUGUACAAGGAUGCCACAUAUUUCCCUGUAGAGGACAUUUUGGUGGGAAAAUGACAGCCUAGAAAAUAUUACAAUCAGGAUUUUACUGGCCCAUUAUGAACAUAGAUGCUUAUGAAUUUGUACAAGGAUGUGAUAGAUGUCAGAGAAUUGGGAAGAUAUCUAAGACAAAUGAAAUGCCACAAACACGGAUAAUUGAAAUCGAAGUGUUUGAAGUUUAGGGGAUUGAUUUCAUGGGACCUUUUCCAAGUUCUUUUGGCAAUCAAUAGAUUCUCUUAGCUAUUGACUACUUUGUAAAAUGGGUAGAAGCUAUUGCACUGCCUACAAAUGAUACAAAGUCAGUUGUGAGAUUCUUAAGAAAAAACAUAUUCACCAGUUUUGGUACACCACGAGCGUUGUUCAGAGACAAAUGAUCUCACUUUUGUAGCAAGCAGUUUGAAGUAACUUUGGCUAAAUACAUCAUAAGGCACCGAAUGACCAUGAUAUAUCAUUUAGAGGCAAAUGGACACGCAGAGGUAUCCAUCCGAGAAAGAAAAAAAAUUCUGGAGAAAACAAUAAAUCCAAGUCGAAAGGAUUGGGCGACUAAGCUAGAAGAUGCCUUAUGGGCUUAUAGAAUAGCAUAGAAAACUCUGUUAGGAAUGUCUCCAUACAAGCUAGUCUAUGGUAAGAAUUGCCAUUUACCAAUUGAAUUAGAAAGGAAAACAUACUGGGCAAUUAAUGAGUUAAAUUUAGAUCUAAAAUUAGCUAAGAAAGAAAGAUGAUUUCAAUUCCAAGAAUUAGAAGAAUUCCAUUUCAUAGCCUACGAAAAUACUAAAAUGUAUAAAGGAGUAGAAUUUGACAUGAUGCGAAGAUUAGAAAGUGAGAACCUACUGUUUAGGUCUCGGUUGAAAUUAUUUCUUGGGAAAUUGAAAUCAAGAUGGACAGGUACAUAUAGAAUACAUUAUGUAACUCCUCAUGGAAUAAUAAAGCUGAUCGAAAAAGAGGGGUAGCAUUUUCUUGUAAAUAGUCAAAGAGUGAAACUAUUUUGGAGGGUUAGUUGACUCGAUUGUUGAUGAACAAACUUUACACUGUAACACAGUAUGGGUUGUAUCAGGAGUUAAAGGAAAGCUAAUAACUGAAGAAAGUGAUGAUGAAAAAGGUAAACAAGGCGUUCAUUCCCCAAGGUACCAAGGAAUCUGGUCUGCAUGUCGAAACACCAAAAUAGAAUGUCACGGCAACGAAUAAUGUUUAGAUUGGGGAACCUGCCCUCGGUGUUGUGACAUCCCUACAUAAUCUUACUUUCUAAAUCAACAUUAACCACUAACAUUUUUCGAGUUUUGUUACAUUGGAAUUCUUAUUUCCUAACUCUUUUCUUAGUAAUUUUAAAUUGUACCUCUUGAAUAUUUUAUUCGUUCUCUCUGAUCUAUAAAUAGGUUACCUUAAUCUUCAUUCUUACCAUCAACAAGGGAGAGAAGAAAUCAAAUUAUAGAGAUUACAAAAUAAUAUAGGGAGCUUCAGAAAAAUAAAGCAUCAAGCAACAAGUUCUAGUAUAAGUGUCUCAGGCCUAUAUAUUGAGUUUCAAGAAAACAAUAUAGAGCAAUAUUUGCAGAAACUACAACCAUGUACCUCUGUUUAAUAGCAAGGAUUCAAUCUUUUAAUGAGGGAGUGCAAAGGAAUCUGGGAGAAUGCCACCGAAAGAGAAUGGACAAAAUUUUGCUUGCCAGCCGAAGAACCUACAGUAAGUCCCUUGGUUCAAGAAUUUUAUUUAGCAUUGAAACAAAGAGCAGCAACUAGACCAUUCUAUAAGAUGCGUGUUUUUGUGAAAGCCAAAGGGAUUAAUGUUUCAGUAACUAAAAGAAGUAUUUGUCAAUUCUACGGUGCACCAUACUAUUAUUGGGACUACCUCUAUAGAACCAAUUUAAAAGAGUUUAGAAACAUUGACAUGGAAUAAAUACUAAGGUUUUUAACAGAAGGAAAGAAGAUGUGGACAUAUAAGACAGGUACAACAAUACAUGAAGCAUUCAAUCAAGAAUUAACGGCCCCAAAGGCUAAGAUGUGGAUGAAAUAUUUCUGUUUCUAGAAUAUGGCCAACCAUAGAGAUUUCUAAGGUUGGUCCAGCCCAUGCUAUCAUAACAUACAAGAUCCUUCAAAAGAAAAAAAUAUGCAUUGGUACAUGGAUAUACCAUAACAUGGUUGAGUUGCAAGAAACUUAAGAAGGGGGAUAUUUUUCCCCCAUUUGAUUACAGAAUUAUGUAGAGAAGCCGGCGUCCCGAUUGAACGAAUGGAUAAAAAAAUGAAUCCCCAGAAAAGCUACUCGGUGAUGAUAUGUUCAAGCAAUUUACCCAUUUGCAAACAAAACAUAAAGAGGAAAGGAGGAACUUAGGAUUUCUAGAAGAUGAGGAAUAAUCUUCAAGAGAUAAUUUAGUAGGGUUUUAAUUUUUAGGAACAAUAGACUUUAGGAACAUGGAUUUUUUUUAAAGAAACUGGCAUUCUUUUUUUUUAUAAGUAGUUUUUCUUUAAAAUAAAAUCUAUGAACGAACCCAACACGAAGGAGAGAAAAACAAAUUCAAACCUUAUACUAGCAAGGGAGGAAACACCCACCAAUAAAGGAUGGAGCAAUCACGAUCAAUCAGGGAACUUCUUUCCUCAUCUAUUUAUGGGCUACAUAUUGAGGACAAUGUGUUAACUAAAGUGUGGGGGGUAACAAAGAAAACUUGUUUAUUUAAUUUACUAUAUUUUUCUUUAAUUUUCUUUUAUGUGCUUGAGCUUGUAGAAAAAAAAGUGAUUUGCUUGGAGCAUGUAGAGAGGUUGCUUGUGUUUAUGAAUAAAUUUGGCAUGAUGAUGAUAGGUAUUAAGCCAUCGUUUGUACCAAGUGAUAUAAAAAAUACAAGGAAAUGAGCAUACUAGUAUGAAUGAUAGAUUGAAUUUGUGUUCGUUUGGUUGAUUAAAUUUGUGCAUGAUGAGAUAUUUAGGGAUGACCAGAGGCAUUGUUUGGAACACAUCCAGAGCCAAAAAGGUAUCCUAUUUAUACUUCAACUUUAGUACCAAUUUUGAGCCUUUUGACACUUCUUGAUGAACCGCAUUACAAACUCCGAGCCUGAAAAUGUUAAUUUGUAUAUGCCUUUUUUCUUUGGUCCUGUACCGCAUGAUUAUAGAUGUCUGGCCAUACAUAUUGAUGGUUAAAUAGAUACAUCACAGUGAAGUUUGUAAAAUUAGAGUGAAAUAGGAAAGAUUGGUUUGAUAUAGGAACUAUAAGUUAGCCUAAUGUGUGAAAAAAAGAGAGAGAAAUCGAAAAAGAGAAUUGGUAUGAGUAGAAAAAGUCUUAAACUAGCGAAAAAGCAUUCAUGAGUCAGAUGUAUUGAAAAAGAGAAAAGUCACAAAGUCACAAAAAAGAAAAAAGAAAAAAUCGUUUAUUAGUGUACAAAAACUCAUAAGGCUAGCCAUAGUUACUAUGUCAUUUUAUGACUUCCUAUAGUUGGAGAGAUAAGGAAGGUGAGAGAAGGAGAAAUAAGGCGGUGAGCGGGUAAGGGUCAUUAAAAGGGGAAGAAUAGGGAUCAAUACGAUAUGCCAAACUAUUUCCUUGUUUGUAACCUUUUGAUGCUUACUAUUUUUGAAUUCCAUACCUGUCCUAAGUGUUAGAACGUUACAAGCCGAAAAGCCCUAUGUGACCUAAGUAUCCUUAUACAUGAAUGGACAUCAUACUAAACAUUCACAUAUGACUAUUUGUAUUCUGCUCGGAUAGUCAAAGUACUUGUAUGAUUUGUUGAUGGAUUCCUAUAGGUGAGAACCUUAAUACUUGUAUAUUUUGAAACAUAAUCAACUUAGAUGUUUGUGAUCACAAGUGGUAAGUCAAUUACUCAUCAUGUUGAAAUUGUUAGUAAACAUGAAAGGCCUUAGUCGUUUGUAUUGUUUCAAAGCGGUUUGAGAGUCUAUUGGCUGACACUUUGCAUUGAUACAAAUUGAAUGCAGACUUGAUUUUUCAAAUGAAUCGUAUAUACUUGUCAUUUAUUUGAUUUAGAUUCAAAAUAUUGUUCUGGAUUAUAGGUUCACAGCCUGGGCGUACACUAAAAUGGACACUUCCAACAGAAGUUUCUUGUCUUUUUACCUUUAGUUGGUAAAUUGUUAGAAAACACUCAACAACGAUGGCUCAUUGUACAUGCAACAAUCUAUAAAGAACACCACCAAUGUCCACUAGGAUAGGGCCUAUAACUACCCUGGUGCGGUGUUGUAUUUAGUGAGUUUCGCACAAAAUAAAGGAUUGAAUGAUAAAUGGAUGCCGACCUCCAACAGGAUUACGGGAAGAAUAAAACCUAUAGAAUUAUCGCUUAGAUGACAUCCUUGUGGACAUCGAAAGUCAUAAGCAAAGUUUGGGUUGUGGAUACCUCAGGCUUCUAAGUAUCGAUGUAUUUCAUCUUAGGUAAUGCUACAGUGGUACAUCGGAGCCACUGUACGCGGUGAGGUAUCAUUUGGACCUUGUGGUCUAAAUUUUGUAAGACCUCGGGGAAUGUUGUCUUGUUUACCCUGGCCACGACCCAUCCCACUAGUGGUAGUUCUAACCAUUUGUGUAAAUGAAAUAAAAAAGGAAAUAAGAGCAAAAAUUACCUUUGAGCAAGAUAAGAACUGGAGACUAAGAAAGUAGAAUGUUUUGAAAAUGGUUUUAAGUUUUAGUUUUAUAUAGAAAAAUGUGUGCAAGAAGUUUAAUUUUUUAUGAUUUUUCAAGAUCCCUAAUAUAAAUUUGACAUAUAUCUACGAGUAAGAUAAGUAAAGUUUGAAAUCACACAAGCAAUCGCUAAGUUCUGGAUCUGCCAAUUGGAUUAAACUGUUGGCAUUCUUAUCAGCAUGGGAUCUCUAAGGUAUAUGCCUUUGAAAAGAAGUUGUUAAGAAUAAGUAGGAUAGUUCGCCAAGUAAUGGUAUUUGCCUAGCAUAAAAGCUUAGUUUGCAAUAUGAAAAUUUCGAGGAUGAAAUUUUGUUAAAGGGAAAGAGUUGUCAGAACCCAAGUCUGGCGAAUCUGAGAAUAUGGCUUAGAAUUGUGAAGUUCUUUGCUUGGCAUAAGUGUAAUCCACCAUGAUACAUUCUUCUAGCGAAUUGGAAUAUGGUGUAUAGUACCCACCAAAAGUAUGGUUCACCCAGUUACCUUAGCACUAUCCCGAAUGGGUUCUGUAAGACAAUUUGGUUAGAAGCUAACUAGAUUGACUUGUCAAAUAUUAAUUGUACAUAAUUCUCAUUUAUGUUUCUCUGGGAAUCUGUGGGCACUACAAAGGACAAAUUUUGGAUUCGGGUGACACUUGUUAUGUUCCACUAAAAGGAAUCUGGGUAUAUAUAUGUGUGAGAAAGGUUCGUGAGUGAGUUUCUUCUUCUUUUAAUAUAUAACUCUCUAAUAUUUUCUUAAAUUUAAAUGUUAUCUCUUCCUGUUAUUAAUAGAUUAGGAUGUUAGCAGAUUCUUAAUAGUGAAUCUAUAUUCUUUAAGAAAUUGUGGUUGCUGGUUUGAGAUGGAUGUUCGAAUCUAGAGCUUCGAGCUACAAUUUAAGUAAGUAACAGGUGAGUCUUUAUUUUGAAUCCUUCAUGUGAAUUGUUCUAGUAAAGAAAUAUACAUAAUAUUAACACCUCAGAUAUUCAGUAAGCAGGUAAAGCAUAGUAGUUGCAACAUGUACAAUGAUGGCAUGUUAGAAGUAUUUUUUGAAUAUGAAAUUGAGUGGUAAGCAUACAGGAAAAGUUUGAUAUGGGAAGAGUAUGAAUAAUUUAGGCGUAUAAACAAAUCCGGGUAAGUGAAUUCUAGGUAAUAUGUUACUUUGUGAUGCCUCUGGUAGGGAAUUAUAUUGCUAACUAGAUCAGCAGAUCAAGAUAUGAAAUAAGUGCAUGAUUGAUCUGUCGCAAUUCAUUGUUGCAGAUUAAACUAGUUUUCAAACUUAGAGAGUUUGAAUAUCAUCAAAUUUAUUAUGUUUUAUUUAGUUUUCCAAUCUUAGUUUUUAUUUAAUAAAAAGUGUAAUUGAGUUGUUUUAUGACCUUAGGGGCUGAAGGAGGCCUAAGGGAAGGCUAACAUACUUAAUAAGUGCGUAGGACACCAUUCAAAGGCAUAAGGAUUCAAAGUUGGUCACAGUUUUGCGACAUGAGGAGUUCAAGGUCGCAACAUAGUGAACAGAGUUCCAAAAUACCAAUACUGUCUUUGGUGUCCUGACAUAGAUAGAGGAUGUUGAGACACACCCUUGAAGCUGAAUCUGAAGCUAAGCAAACUGCCUAUAGUGUUGCGACAUAGGCAGUGGGUCUUGCGACAUCACCCCUGUACGUGAAAGCAUUAACGAGCUGAGGGCUUUUUGGUCUAUACAAUGAAAAUUAAUGUAAAAAGUUAGUUGACCUAGGGCUAAGGACAACGACCAGCCCUAAUAUUAUAAAUAGGCUCAUUAAACAAUUGAGAAGUGAUUUUUUUUUUGUAACUUAGAAUUUUCCUUUCAAUUUUUAUUUCUUUUUAGACUUAAGAUUUAUUUCAAUUUUUUUUCAUUCGUGACAUUUGAAGAAUCUGAUUUGUGGAUUCAACCAAACAUUUUGUUGAUUUCUAUGCUUUAAUCAAUUAAUAUAAUUAAGAUUUCUUCUUAAACUUUUAUUCUUAUUCGUUAUUCAUGUUUACUUUCUUUAUCAAGUUUAUAUUGUUUAUGAGAUCCAUGAGAAACUAAUCCUUUUAUGGGGGAUUAGUUAGUGGAGUUUUGAUUAAUUAAUAUUUAUGUAGGGUUUUCUUAGCGGAUCAGUUGUUUGGGAUAGGAAGAAUUUAAACCCUAGGUCUGACAACCCUAAGAAUUCAUCUAGGUGAGAUUAACCCAAAAUUGGUACUGCCUAUCCGUGAACCUUUUACCCCAAUUCGGUCUAGACUGUGAGGUCGAGAGAUAAGUAGUUCUUGCCAAAUCACUAGUUUAGUGGAAGAUCGAGAGAUCCUGCUUGGGUAACGACUAGUUGAUUGAGUAGAAACCCAAAAUAGGAAUUAGUUAUGACCACUGAAGCGAGCUAAUCACCCAUGCUUAGAUUUGGUUGAGUUACAUAUUAGUUUUUCGUGUUCACUCUUUUAUGUGUGUUUUGUUCUUUCCUUAUUAAAUAAAUAUUUUUUACUUUAGGCUUUAUCGUACUAUAAUUUAUUGACGGUACUAAUUAGUUCUAUUUACAUUUAAGUUAAUAUUAAUUUAGUAUUCGCCUUCUUUGGGUACGAUCCUUGGAGUACACAUCUAUUUUGUUGUAAAAACUAUAUUAUAGCCUGACCCGUAUGCUUGCAGAUAGUGCCUCAAUUCCAUAUCUUUGUUGCAGUAUUGACACUCUGGACAUUAGUACAUUCAAAGGUGGUCAAGUUGUUUGCGUCGUUGCCGAGGAGGCAACGUGACUAGAUUAAUUUUAAUUUUUUUGUUUUAAUAGAAUAAUGAGGAAAUUUUUAAAUUAUAUAAGAGUUUUAUUUUUAAAUUUAUUGAUGUUUUUAUUUUUCUUUGUGGUUUCAGUGUAUGAAUCGAACUAGGGGAACACUUAUAGAGCCAUUUAGUGAUCCAGAAAGAUUAAUCCGUAAAAUCCAUAGAUAGCAACAACAAUGACAACGACAAUAGAUGCAAAAUCAACCACUUGUUGUAGGUAAUCCACCACGAGAAAACCCGCCAUUCGAUGAAAUUAACGAAGCUAACCUACCAGAUCUACCAUUAUAACUACUGUUAAAUCUACAGAUGGAACGAGAAGAACGAACUUUAAGGGACUAUGUCUUACUUACUCUGGAUAUGGUACAAGGUAGCAUUACAAGGCCAGCCAUUACGAUGGAUAUGGUACAAGGUAGCAUUACAAGGCCAGCCAUUAUGAUGAAUAAUUUCGAGACCAAACCAGCCAUGAUCCAGAAUAAUUUGUAGUUCAGAGGAACUGUGACGGAGGACCCAAACCAAUACUUACAAUAUUUUCUCCAACUUUGUGACACAUUUAAAUUUAACGGGGUCACCGAUAAUACUAUUCAUCUUUGAUUGUUCCCUUUCUCUUUAAUUGAUAAAUCUUUGUUUGGUUAGACUCAUAGGAAUCAAGAUCUAUCACAACAUGGAAUGAACUUGUGUAGAAGUUUCUACACAAGUUCUUUCCUAUUAGCAAGACAGUCCAAUUGAGAAGGGAAAUAGCUACAUUUAAGCAACUAGAAGGAGAAAGCUUUCACGAAGCUUGGGAGCGUUUUUAGAUGUUGAUCCAAAGAUGUCCACAUCAUAGUCUACUUGAAUGGUUAAGAUUGCAGAUGUUUUAUAAUAGGUUAGGUGGAAUGCGCGAUUAAGGCUCGAUAGAGCCGUAAGAGGUGCCUUGAUGAAUAGAACAUAGAGGAUGCGUAUGAUCUAAUAGAAAACAUGGCAAUGAAUUCCUAUCAAUGGCCAACUGAAAGAUUUACUUAUGGAUAGAGACUAUCCAUUGUAAAAGCUGUCUAGGAAGAUGACAAGUACCAACAAAUUUUGGACAGACUUAACCAAAUAGAGUCCACAUCUAGUGCAUCUUCAAUGUUUGGUAGAGUUAAACCUCUUAGCCAUUAUUCUGAUAGCACAAACGAGAAUGUGAAUUAUAUUGGGAAUAGGGGUGAAACCCUUAUUCAAACACUUACAACCCUAGUUGGAGAGAUCACCCAAACCUAAGAUGAGGUGGAAACCAGGGAGGAGGUAAUAAUUCUAACCCUAUUAAAAAUACUAUUUACCAACCUCCGUAUUUGUAGAAGCCUCAAGAAAGGGCCAACCCCAAUGACCAUACUAUAUUUGGUCAAAGCUUGGAUCGAAUCCAAGGAGAGAUGUAGUCAAUGAGGACAAGUAAAAUAGCGCAGUCUGAGUGCACCCAAACAUCUAAAACAUUGAAUAAACUUAAAGAUCAAUUGAGCCAAUUAAUGAGGAUGAUAGGAGAUAAGAAAAGGAAAAUUGGCACUGGGAUCCCACGUAAUACUGAGAACAAUCCUAAGAGAGAAGGGAAAGAGCAUGUAAAGGCGAUCACACUCUGUUCAGGUAAAGUGCUGAGUAGUCUAGAGAACCCAACUCAAGAAGAGAACGAGGAGGAUACUGAUCACAUUAAAAAAGAAUAUGCUUAAAAUACAGAUGCUAAAAUUGGACCAGAAGAGGUAGUAGAGCCAGCAACUGAGCCAAAGGUUGAAUAGAGAACCCGCACUAGCCAAGGCACCAUUCUUUUUAUGGUUAGAAGAUAAGCAGAAAUGAGAUGAAACAGAAUCUACAAGUUUUCUAAACUUAUUCAAAUAUCUGAUUGAUAACUUGCUUUUAGUUAAAUUAAUUGAAAAAGUUCCUAAAUACACCAAAUAUUUAAAAGAAAUUAUGUCUAGGCCUAGGAAAAUUAAAAGAGGAGAUUAAGUUAACAUAGACACAUCAUGUAGUGUAAUAAUUUCUAAAUAGAUUCCCUAAAAACUAAAAGACCCAGGAGUUUUACAAUUCCUAUAUAGAUAGGGGAUAUCCACUUUAGUAAGGCUCUGUGUGAUUUAGGAGCAAGUAUCAAUUGAAUGCCCUUGUUGAUAUAUGAAAAACUCAGGUUAGAGGAACUUAAAAACGCACGCAUUACACUGCAUUUAGAUGAUAGGUCUGCGAUACGACCGAAAAGAGUACUUGAAGAUGUAUUGGUUAAGGUGCACAACUUUAUCAUCCUAGUUGAUUUCGUAAUUUUAGCUUUUGAGGAAGGCUGUGAAAUCCCUAUUCUGUUAGGGAUGCCAUUUUUAGCCACAUCAAGGUCCAUCAUUGACCUAGUGCAUCCAUAUACACACUGACAAAGUUGAUAAUGAAUUCGGCAGCAAAACAUGAAUUUUUUUUAGCUUAGAUAAAAUUUUUUAUAUUAUUGUAUUUUAAUAGACUCAUAAGUAGUUUAGGAUUUAAUUCUAUUUAAAUUGAUUAAAGAGUUAAUCUGAACACUUUGAAGUUUGAAAAGAGGGGAUGAAACAAAGUCGGUGUCGCAAGAUGGAUCCUCCAUGUCGCGACACCACUCACAGAUUGAAGAAAUUGAGUAACCAAUCUCGAUGACACGACAUAGCACCUUUGUGUCACAAAAAUGAAGAUAAUAUACCCUAGAGUUCAAAAUUUUCAAAGUGUGUCACGACAACGUUGCAAUUUUAUGUAGGACCGACCCGACCCAUUGUGCAACCCUGUAGAUUAGCCCUUGUUUUAACCCAAUUUUUAAAUUUAAAAUACAAAAUUUUUAACCUAAAAACACUUCUAAUUAAGUUUUAAACUCUCCUUAACCUUACACUCUCUCAAAUCCUCUCAAACCCUAAAAUCUCUAUUCUUUUUUCUUCUUAUUUUGGUACAAAAUUUCCCUAUUCUUGUAUGUUUAUUAAGUGCAAGUUAAAAUGCUUCGCAUUCACAAAGGAAUUUGGAACAACGCUCGGAAGGAUUAACGAGCUUUCAAGUCAAGGUGAAUAGUUCAAACUUAGAAUUUUACUAUUUUUUCAUUACUUGAUAUUUAGUUAGUUCUUCUAGUUAAAAUUUGUAUUAAAGGUGCUUCAUAGAAAAUCUAGAAGAACUAGCGAAUUCAAACCAUCGGUGGUUGCAAACCAGUCAAACGUUCCAAACCCAAACAACAAAAACAAUUGUUGUUAGAACUUUAAGGAAAGACAUUUAUACAAGAACGAGGGUUUGAGUCAUCGAUGAUUCUAUGUAGGGAAAUAUGGCCAUUAGUUUAAUACCAUAGGUGGGAAUGCUUUUGUGUAACCCCUAAAGACUUUGUUGUGGUACCAAUAGUACAAGAGUUCUAUGCAUUUUUCAGGGACCAAGAGUUUAGGAGGCUAAAUGGCCCCACUUGUGAAACUAUACGAGUAUAGGGGAAGGAAGUACUUGUCACCCCUAGAGUGACUUGUGAAUUUUAUAACGCUUCAUAUUAUGAAUAUGAUUUUGUGGAAGAAAACGAUUUAAAAUAUUUUAGAGAUAUUAAUAUGGAUAACAUUCUAAAAUAUUUAAUAGAGGGUAAGGUUGAAUGGAAAUAUCUCCCUAGUAAUGAUAUCCCCACGUACUUUAAUCAAGCAAUUAUGUUUCCUAUUGCAAAUAUAAGGACACAAUUUUUAUGCACUUGAAUUUCUCAUGCUUUGAAUGUCUCUAACGUCAAUACUUUUUGAGUGGUUUUGUUAUAUGCUAUUUUGUAGAGGAAACAGGUGUGCAUCGAGACAUGGAUCUAUCAUUAUAUGAAGUGGUGCAUUAGUUGCCAGAGAGUCAGAGUUUUCUUCCCCCACUUAGUGACGCCUUUGUGCAAAAAGGCCAGAGUUCCAAUGACAACGACUGAGCAAUUCAUGAAGCCAUCCAAGAGUCUCAUAAGGGAUUCAUUUUAUAAGAAAUAUACAGAGCUUCAACGAAAGCAAAUAAGAGAUUGAAACAAAUGGCAAAACGAAAAGAUGGAAGUUUCAGUUUCACUUACAUGAAAAGCAAAAUCGUAAUCUUGAAAAGAAAUAGGCGAGAAUAGCAUUCCAGAUAUGGAAUAGAUGAUAAGAUGGAUGCAAGAGAUGAUCCCAAUUCUUCAAGAAUUUGUGGGGGCAGAACAACAUGAGAGUACCAAACUAUCCACCAAAUAUAUUUGGUCCAAUGCAUUCUCAUCAUGAAGCAGAAGAGCAAGACAGCGAGGAAAGGGAAGAUAGUGAUGAUGAGGAAGCUGAAGAGGAGGGACAACUUCUUUUUGAGCUGUCAACAAACAAGGAAGGGAGCACCCAUCAUAAGUCUAAGACAAUGUCACGAUCAAUCGGACAACUUCUUUCUUUAUCUACAUGGUUGCACAUUAGGGACAAUAUGUUAUCUAAAGUGUGGGGGUAACAUAGGAAAAUUUGCUUAUUUUGUUUUAUGCUUUUUAUUUUAUUUUUCUUGUCAAAGUAUGCUUGAUCUUGUAGAAAUAUAAGUCAUUGGUUAUGAGCAUAUAUAUAGGUUAAUUGUAUUUACUAUAACUUUGACAUGAUAGUGAAUAAUUUUAAUUUUUUGAUUAUUAGACUACUAAGUUCUAUAUAUUAUACUGUAAAUAAGCAUUAAGUUAUUAAAUAUACCAAAUGGCAAAAAAUACAAGGAAACGAGCAUGCUAGUAUGUAUGAAAAAUAAUGAAAUUUGUGAAUAUUGAGAUACCCAAAGAUGACCUAAGGCAUUGUUUGGUGUAACCCAAAGCCCAAAAGUUAACCGUAUUCAUCGAACCUUAUACCUAUUUUGAGCUAGAAAACACUUAUUAAUAAACCUUCAUACAAAACUUGAGCCAAAAUAUCAAUUUGUACUUAUCAUUUUCUUUGGUCCCAGAAUUGCAGAAUUUAGAUGUUUGGCCAUACGUAUUGAGGUAUAGGUUGAUUCAUCAUUGUGAAAUUUGUAAAAAUCAGAGUGAAAUAGGAAGAAAUAAUGUGAUAUAGUGAUUAUAAGUUAGCCAACAUGUGCGAAACAAAAGAAAAGAUAGAAAAAGAUUAAACGAGUAGAAAAAGUACUUGAGCAAUGAAAAAAAAGCAUUGUGAGUGCGAUGUAUUGAAAAAAAUCAAAUGUGACAAGGUUACAGAAUUAGAAAACUCAAUCAUUAAUGCAUAAAAAAUCGUGAGCUAGCCAUAAUUACUUUAUUAUGUUGUGACUUCCUAUGUGGAGAAAUAAGAAAGGUGAAAGAAUGAGAAAUAAGAUGGUGAGCGGGCAAGGGUUGUUUAGGGGGAGAAUAGGGAACAAUACGAUGUGCUAAACUAACUUUAUGCUUGAAGUUGUUUUGAUGCUUCCUGUUUUUGAAUUCCAUACCUAUCCUAAGCCUCAUAACAUUACAAGUCGAAAAGCCCUAUAUGGUCUAGGUAAAUCUAUUCAUGAAUUGACAUUAUAUUGAGUAAUUACAAUAAUAACAUUUUGUAUUCUGCUAAGAUAAGAUAAGCAAAUUACCUUAUUGUUUAUAUACUUUGUAAUAUAGUGAACUUAGGUGUUUGAUAUUAAGAGUGGUAAGUCGUUAAUAUAUCAUGCCAAAAUUAUGUGUAGAUAUAAUUUUUCCUAGCUAUGUGUUCCAAAACUUGUUCUUGUAUCCUAGUUUCUCAAGAGUCGUCUUUGAUAUUUUGUUUCUUUGCUUGAGGACAAGUAAUGACUUAAGUGUAGGGGAGUUUAAUCUGUCGCAAUUCGUUGUAGCAAAUUAAAGUAGUUUUCAUACUUAGAAAGCCUGAAUAUAAACAAAUUUAUUAUGUUUUAUUUAGUUUUCCAAUCAUAGUUUUCAUUUAAUAAAAAGUGUAAUUAAGUUGUUUUAUAACCUUAAGGGUCGAAUGAGGGGUAAGGGAAGACUAACGUACUUAGUAAGUGUGUAAGGCACCAUUCAAAGGCUUGAGGAUUCAAGGUUGGUUGCAAUGUUUCAACAUGUGGAGUUCAAGGUCGCAACACAGUGACCAGAGUGCUAAAAUAAUAAGACUGCCUUUAGUGUCGUAAAAUUGAUAGAGGAUGUCACGACACACCUUGAAGCUGAGACUAAAGCUAAGCAAACUACCUUCAGUGUCGUGACAUCGACCUUGUACGUGAAAGCAUCAACGAUUUGGGUGCAUUUUGGUCUGUAAUGAAAAUUAAUGUAAAAACGUCAACCAACCUAGGGCUAAUGAUGAUGGCGAACCCUAACAUUAUCAAUAAGCUUAUUAAACAUUUGAGAAUGUACCUCUUCUGUAACUUAGAAAUUUCAUUUCAAUUUUUUAUUUCUUUUUAAACUUAGGAUUUAUUUUAAUUUGUUUUCAUUCGUGACAUUCAGAGAAUCUGAUUGCAGAUUCAACCAAGCACUUUGUGGAUUUCUGCGCUUCAAUAAAUCAAUACAAUCAAGAUUUCUUCUUAACCUAUUAUUCUUGAUUCGUUAUUCAUGUUUACUUUCUUUAUCAAUUUUAUAUUGUUUAUGAGAUCCAUGACUAACUAGUCCUUUUAUGGGGGAUUAGUGAGUGGAUGUGUAAUUAAUGUCUAAGUAGAGUUUUCUUAGCAAAUCAAUUGUUUGGGAUUGGAAGAACCUAAACCAUAGGCCUAACAACCCUAGGAAGUUAUCUAGGUGGGGAUUAACCCAAAAUUGGUAUUGCCUAUCCGUGAACCCCUUACCCCAAUCCGAUAUGGACUGUGAGGUUGGGAGAUAAGUAGUUCUAGCAGACUCGUUAGUUUAAUGGAAGAUCUAGAGAUCUUGUUUGGAUAAUGACUAGUUGAUUGAGUAGAAACCUAAAAUAGGAAUUAAUUAUGACCACCAAAGCGAGAUAAUCACCCAUUCUUAGAUUUGGUUGAGCUACAUAUAAGUUUUUCGUUUUCACUCUUUUAUGCAUGUUUUAUUCUUUCCUUAUUAAAUAAAUAUUUUUCACUUUAGGCUUCAUCAUACUAUAAUUUAUUUAUGAUACUAAUUAAAUCUAUUUACAUUUAAGUUAAUAUUAAUUUAGUACUCGCGUCCAUUGGGUUCGAUCCUUGGAGUACUUACCUACUUUAUUGUAAAAACUAGAUUACAACCUGACCCGUAUACUUGUGGACACUUCCUCAAUUUCAUAUCUCUAGUUGUAGUAUUGACACUCUAGACGUUAGUACGUCCGAAGGCGGUCAAUGACUAUGUGGCUGAAACUCAUGGCAUUGUGUGAUAUGAAGACACUCAUGACGAUACCCAUGGUUGGAUUGAUAGAUCACAACAUGAGAAUGUGUAAGUCCAUGUGGCUGAGACCCAUGGCAUGAUAUGAUAGUAUGAAUAUUCAUGGUAAUGCCUUCGGUAAUAUGUAAACCGAACUGGCAAAUCACGACAUGAAAAUAUGUAUAAGUCUACGAGGAAGAAAUCAAUGUCACCUUCUAUCAAAGUUUUUCGGGACAAUAAACACGUGAAUAUGUAUGUUGCUUGUAUGGCGUGAUCUGCUAAUCAUUUAUGGCGUAUUUUGUAUAGCCUAUGUGGCGUAUUCUGUAUGGCCUUUGUGGCAAAUUCUGUAUUGUUUCAUUGGUAUAUUUGUUGAUGUUCAUGUGGCAUAAUAUGAUUAUUUGUCCUUAUGGUAAGUUCUAGAUAAGUUCUAAGAGUUCUUUGAUAGAUAAGUCUAUGAUAAGGAUAUGAUGUGUUUGAAGUCAAUUUGAUUUGAUUAGUUUUGUGAUAUAGUCAAAUGCGUUUUAAGGAAAGUUCCUGAAAGAAAAUAUGUAUUUGUAUUGUUGAUGGGGGGUAUCCGCUAUAGUAACCUACCAUUUUAGAAUAUGGGUUUAUUCAUAAAUAUAGAAGGUAUAAGUAUUCAUCGAUUUGAGUUUGCUUGUGUUAAAUAGAGAUUAGAUCUAUGUCAUCUAGUAUUCACUAUAUCUGAAUAGCAUUAUGUCCCGUUCUGAAAUCUUAUGGAAUCUGAGUUGUUGUCAUCUUGGGUUUUCUUAUGUUCUAUAAAAAAGUGUUUGGAAUCCUUUUUAAGGAUCCGGAUAGUUUAGAAUCAGUUUGAGAAUAUGUUUGGCUUUGAACUUGGAUAUGACAUGUUUGGUAUAUUGAUAGUAUCAAACUCAGUUUGGGAAUCCGCCAAAAUGUGAAUUCAGAUAGUAAGUAUCCGCUAGUGGGUAGCAUCUGUGAACAUCCAUUGUGAAGAAUGUCUAUAUGAAGAGUAAAUCCGUAUGAAGAGGGCUCGAUAGAAAUAUUCCUUUGAGAAGUAUCUUUGUUGUUCUAUGAGAAAGAAUAUAACAAUAUAUUAUCUUGUAAGAUCUGAAAUUAGCCAAGUAGUGAAGUGGAAACUAAUACGUUAAGCAUGACUACUGGCGUAUAUGCGCAUGUCCAAAUAUUUUGAAAGUGUCAGCCCAAAAAAAAUGAUAGGUUAAAUACAGAAAUUGGCAUAUAGGCACGCAAUCAAUAUUAUAACAGUAUCCACAAAUGUAUUAUGUACUUAUGCUUACUAAGUUCAUGUAACUUACUAGUGUUAUGUUUAUGUUUUAGGUAUAUUGUAAGAGUGAGUAUGCCGGGAGGGACAAUGCUAGUAAUAUGCCAAGGAAGCGGUGAGUCGAGUUAUUAUGCAUACCAUAAGAAAUUUUUCGCAAAAUCCCAAAGUUUUUUUUGAACUCAAUAUUACCCCUUUAUAAAUAUCUAAUCUUCCUUGCAAUUUUAAACCGAGACCAAUCCAACACAACCAAUCCAUUUCAACAUAUUUUCAAGAUAGAUUUAAUGUAUUCAUAAGAUAACCUCAUCACAUACCAAAACCAAAAUUUGUUAGCCAUACCAAUGGCUAACCAUACAUUCAUUUCACAUUAACAUUUACGUUACUAGCUUAUACAUACCAUUGAUUUCCAAAAUAAAGUUUCUUUAUAUACCGAGAUCUUGAGGUUGAUAGUGUGAUAUGUCUCUGACCGAGUCCGAUCUCUGAGCUCUUAACACUACAAAACAGGGGAAAAAGAAACAGGGUAAGCACUUUGUGCUUAGUAAGUUCAUGUAACAAGAAUUAUACUUACCUAAUAUUUUCAAUACAAUGAAAUAAACAUUCAUACACCCAUUCAAUACAUUAUUCCCCUAUCAUACACAAACUCAACAUUCAAAUUAAUCCAAUAAUUUCCAUGUAUCAAUAAUAUGUACCAUGAUUGAUGAGCUAAUCAAUACCAUUAUUUCUAUUUCCUUGUUAUUUUUCCAUAUUUAUCCUGUUAAAUUUCUUGAAAUUUCGAUGGAUUUUCAGGGGUACACUUUAGUGUACAAAUCCGGGUCCGUCAAUUCAUAUUCAUGUGCGCACAUUUCCAUUUCAGAGAGCACACUCCCGCGAACCUCAUCCUUACAGUGGGAUUAAUAAACUCAUAGAGUAUUGUCGAGAUUACCAGUCCAGGCUAAAUCCCCUGUAAUAUAAACUCAUAGAGUAUUAUCGGGAUUACCAGUCCAGGCUAAAUCCCCUACAAUGACAAUUACUCUAAUGAGCCUGAAUCUGAAUUACCAGUCCAGGCUAAAUUCAGACCCUAAUUCGGAUUACCCGUCUAGGCUAAAUCCAUUUUCCACAUAUUCUUUGGGAGGGCUAUAUCAGAAUAGGAUCAUCCGUCUGGGCUAGAUCCUUUUUACCGUCAAUUCCUUUUCAGAGAUCCAUCGAAUUUUCCUUCCAUUCAACCGGGAUUUCUUCCCUUUUUUAUUAAAUAUAUCAAUGUUUCAUUAAUUUUCAUACAAUGAACAUUCAAAUCAUAUUCACAUCAAUAACAAACAUUUCAAGAAUUUAAGAAUAUAAUUCAAGUUAUACGAACUUACCUCGAUACUUGUUCGUAAAAAAAAUCUACUAAUCCCAAACUUUUUCUUUUCCUCGAUCUACUAAUCCCAAACUUGUUCAUAUGUAACAUUCUCUAUAAUUCCAUUAUUAUUUAUAGUUCAUUCAAAGUUGUCUCAUUGAGUCAUAGUCACUAAAUUAUUUAUAUCUUGAGUUACGGAACUCCAAAUUAAGAUCCACUAAUUUUCCCGAAACUAGGCUCACAUAUCUUCUUACCAUAAAAUUUUCAGAAUUUUUGGUUUAGCCAAUAAGUACAGUUUAUUCUUUAAAGUUUCCCCUGUUUCGCUGUUCGACAGUUCCGACCCCUCUUCACUAAAAAUUAAUUAUCUCAUUGUACAGAAUUCGGAUGAUGUAUUAUUUUAUUUUUAAAUACUUUUCUUUGUUCCUUUAAUGUUGAUUCUUUAAAUAAAAUGAUAAAAAAUAUAUUUUAAGUCAAGUGUACAUGUUGACUGUUUUGAAAUUUUGUUAAGUGAAAUGUAAAGUAAUACCCGAGAUUUGGAUUCGGUAAUUCGGGUUGGGUUAAGGGUGUUACACACAUAGAGACAGAAGUUCUAUUUUGUUAAUUUAUGAAUUGUUUUAGUGCAUAAUUUGUGCAAGUAAAUUAGUAAAUUGGAUUAUUCAUUGGUUUACAACUAAGGUUUCAAAGGGAAAUAGUUUCUGAGAGUGUGAUCUAGUUUGAAGUAUAGAAGUGAGGUUGCAAGUUAGUUUAUGACUUGAACUUAAACUACGAUUUGUACUUUAUUAAUUUAUAUUGGGUCACUCUCUAGGUAAGAUCUCAUAGAUGUAAGAAGUUUUCAAAUUACAUAAACAAUUGUGUUGUCCAUCUCUAUUUUAUAACUAUACUAACUUUGUCCAAUUGUAACCAAACGAAUAUUGAAAAACAAAAUCAGUGAUUCACACAUAAUAUACUAUUUUAAAAAAAAUGAAUUUUCAAGUAAGAAAAACAAAAUUUUCAAGUCAAUCCAUAAACAUAUCUACCAACAUCAUGUUUAAUUUUUUUUAAACAGUCUUCCAUGAAAUUUUUUAUUAAAUUUGCUUGCACGAACAUCAAACGUAUUAUAUUAUACAUAUUUAUCCUAUGAAGAAUAAAUUACACUUCUAUAAUAUACAAAAGGUACCUAAAUACUUUUAAUAGUUUGAGCCUUGUGGUUUCCAAAAAGUUUAAGGUAUCAACGUAUUAACCUCGAAACAAAGAGGAAGACUUUGAAAACAAAAAGAGGGAGACAGAGAGAGCAGCCCAAAGAAUGGACUUCAGCUUUGCAAGGUGGGCCUUUGGGCUUCAUUAUGUAUUUGAGCCUCUGGACAAGGUUUUCAUCAAACAAUAUAAGCUGGUGAAGUGCAGAUAGAUAUUAUGUGAAAUGAACGGCUUAAUGUUAACAAAUUGACCUUAAGAAUAUGCCAUUGGUGGCGAUAAGAAAAUUGUGGUGGGGUAUCCAACAUGAGGUCCAUAUCUCACACAUCAUAUCAUCUGGAUAAGAGUAGAAUCCAGAGACCUUCAUUUUAUUGGACAUUAUUUGAUUUGCUUCACAUUAAAUCUUAUAUCCCAAAACCCAAAUCCUCAGCCAGAGGCAAUUGAAACUCCAUUUCUCUGCCACAAAAAGCUCCCCCGCCCCAACUCCCCUGGGAUCAACAGCACAAUUCUAAACCCAAAAACAUAAAAAAAUGGCAGCAAGUGUAGCAACAAUGGCGAUGCUCAAUGCAAAAUGCCUAAGCAUCAGCUCAACUAAGAUGAGCAGCCCAACAAAGCCAACCCCAAAGCCCUUCUCCCUUCUCUCCAUGCAGAACCUCCCCAAAGGCCUCACCAUCUCAAAACCAGCCAACAACUCAAACCUACCGUCUUCACUCGCUGGCAGCGCCAUUGCUGGAGCUAUCUUCUCAACCUUGAGCUCAUGUGACCCCGCCUUAGCUGCACAACAGAUUGCUGAAAUAGCUGAAGGAGACAACCGUGGGCUAGCUCUAUUGCUUCCCAUAAUCCCAGCGAUCGCUUGGGUCCUCUUCAACAUCCUCCAGCCAGCACUUAACCAGCUGAACCGAAUGAGGAGCUCCAAAGGGGUUAUCAUAGGGCUAGGGCUCGGAGGAUUGGCUGCAUCAGGGUUCAUGUCAAC
rnacentral:lncRNA from 1 species